rnacentral:lncRNA from 1 species
AGCAACAAACAUUUCCACCACAACAGCCAUAUCCGCAGCCGCAACCAUUUCCAGCACAACAACCAUAUCCGCAGCCGCAACUAUUUCCACAGCCGCAACCUUUUCCGCCACAACUUCCAUAUCCGCAGCCGCAACCAUUUCCCCCACAACAACCAUAUCCACAACCGCAAACACAGCAUCUGCAACCACAACAACCAAUUUCGCAGCAACAAGCACAACAACAACAACAACAACAACAACAACAACAAAUCCUUCAACAAAUUCUGCAACAACAACAACUGAUUCCAUGCAGGGAUGUCAUCGUCUUGCAACAACACAACAUAGCGCAUGAAAGCUCACAAGUAUUGCAGCAAAGUAGUUACCAAGUGUUGCAACAAUUAUGUUGUCAGCAGCUGCGGCAGAUCCCCGAGCAGUCGCGGUGCCAAGCCAUCAACAAUGUCGUUCAUGCUAUUAUUCUGCAUCAACAACAACAACAACAAGGACAACAUCAACAGUCGAGCCAGGUCUCCUACCAGCAGCCUCAGCAACAAUAUCCAUCAGGCCAGGGCUCCUUCCAGCCAUCUCAGCAAAAUCCACAGGCCCAGGGCUUUGUCCAACCUCAACAUCUGCCCCAACUCGAGGAAAUAAGUAACCUAGCGCUGCAGACGCUACCAGCAAUGUGCAAUGUCUACAUCCCUCCAUAUUGCUCGACCACCAUUGCGCCAUUUGGCAUCUUCGGUACUAACUGAGAAGAGAAGAACUCUAGUACUAGAUAUAUGAAACACCGUGUUCUUAGUCCAUGGUUUGGUCGUUGUACCGUUGAAAAUAUAAGGUGACAUGCACUAUCAUGUAAGAACCCGAACUAUACUAGUUCAAACUUGGGAAUAAAAGACAAACACAUGUCUUGUCUGCAUAUGAUUGUUUAUUUGAGUUCCAUUCCUAUGCCCAUUCACAAGUUCACCCCUAAUUAUAUAUAUUACACAUUAAGUAGAUAUUUAUGUUGCAUUAAUCUGAAGAUAACAAAGUGAGUCUGAAACUUGAAUUAUUUUCUUGGACUUUCAAAUUGUGUAUUAUUAAAGUAGUAAGGACUAUCCACAUCCUUGGCUUGCCCUUGAUCAAUUAUUCCCAGAGAAGCUUUCAGUUCAUAAAUCAAUUACAUUGAUUUUUGUGAAUGGUACAUCUCCUCAUCACGAGUAUCAUUACGGCUACUCCAAAUCGCCCACAUAACCGAAGCAUUAAUAGCGCCCUUCUUGCAUCCGGAAAUAUGGAUCGAAGAUAUCACUUGACCAUGUUUCCAGGUGCAACCUUGGGAUUUUUAUGUGAAAAUAUUCUCAAGCAAAAUCCAAGAAUAAACUUGCAUGCUCACGUGUGAUGAGGGCAGAUGAAGUAACAUUUCCUCCCCAUGGCCACACAUAGGGCACACACAUAACCCCAUCACAUGCCUUUUUAGUUAUGCAUAUGAAAGGUAGGAUGUUUUUAAUUACUCUCCACCAAAAUACUCUUAACUUGGCUUGUACCCUAAUAUUUCGUUGCCUUUUCAAUUGUUCUUCCCCAUUAGACAAAGUAGACAGUCCAUCUACCACACCGUACCUUGUGUCCAUCAUUGCUCUGUACAACAAUUGAACAGAACAAAUGUCAUUUCUUUACGAUACCCACGACCAAAUGUCCUCUGCUGGAUUGUUUGGUCGUGGCAUAUUAAGGAUGGCCACCUCAUCUCAUGGGGUAAACACCUAAUGAAUGAAAGGAUUGUUCUAGUCGCCCGUGUUUUUCAUCGAUAAGAUCAUCUACAAGUUGGACCGAAGUUUCUCACAUGCAUCAUAGUGGUUUCAUUAGCGGCGUGCCCUGCACCCAUUUAUCACGUCGUAUCUCUGUAGUAUGUGCAUUCCCAAUUUGUCACAGCAUACCCUCCUUCAAACCUUCUUUCCCUUUCAGAUUAGCACGCCAAGUUAGCUAUGCACUAUGCGGGAACCAGCAUUUGAAAAAAAAGAAUCUCAUUUCAUGGUAUCUUCCAUGAAGGACCCUCGUACAUUAGCUAUCUAGGUAGAAAUAGCCAUGUGUGUUUAGCAAACUUUAAAUAAGUGAAUAGAUCAAGGUCGUGGAACCCCAAGCCUCCAAUUACACAUGGCCUCUCUACCAAUAAGAUCUCCAAAGACAUCAAGGAUACAGACAGCCAAAAAAGAAAAUAAAAAUAAAAAAAAUAAAAAAUACCCUGCCAUGGUGAUCAAUCACAAGCAUCAACAGCACUCUAACCACCACCAAAGACAAUGCCCAGAUUACAAAAAAAAAUUAUCCAAAAACAAUGCCCCCAAGAAGGAAACAAUACACAAGCGUUGUCGUUGCCCGAUCGAAGAUCGUGGGUUUUCACCCUGGAAAAUUUUCGAGUUCACCCAAAAACAAUGCCUUCAACAAGGCCAUUGCCAAGUACAACAAAUAUGGUCGAGACCUUGGGUUUUCACCCUGGGAAUUGAGACUCGAUGCUCGAGGAGUACCAGCAAAAAUGCAGUCCACUAGUGUUGCCGCCCCCACUUGGCGAGGCCACUGUUGCAAGUCACCAAACACCUGGCAUAUAGUUGUCAUCGCAUCCAAUACACCCUUCGGCCGAAGCUUCAAGACCUUGAUCCGUCUCCAACGUAUCUAUAAUUUUUGAUUGUUCCAUGCUAUUAUAUUAUCUGUUUUGGAUGUUUUAUAUGCAUUAUUGUGCUAUUUUAUAUGAUUUUUGGGACUAACCUAUUAAACUAGAGCCCAGUGUCAGUUCCUGUUUUUUCCUUGUUUUAGAGUUUCGUAGAAAAGGAGUACCAAAUGGAGUCCAAAUGGAAUUAAACUUUUGCGAUGAUUUUUCUUAGACCAGAAGACAUCUAGAGGACUUGGAGUGCACGUUAAGAAAGCCACGAGGCUGCCACAACGACAGAGGUGUGCCCCCACCCUUGUGGGCCCCUUGUGACUCUACCGACAUAUUUCUUCCGCCUAUAUAUUCUCAAAUAUUCCAAAACAUACUAGGAGAGCCACAAAAACACUUUUCCACCGCCGCAACCUUCUAUACCCGUGAGAUCCCAUGUAGGGGCCUUUCCCAGCAUCCUGUCGGAGGGGGAUUCGAUCACUGAGGGCUUCUACAUCAACACCAUUGCCUCUCCGAUGAAGCGUGAGUAGUUUACCACAGACCUAUGGGUCCAUAGCUAGUAUCUAGAUGGCUUCUUCUCUCUCUUUGAUUCUCAAUACCAUGUUCUCCUCGAUGUUCUUGGAGAUCUAUUCGAUGUAAUACUCUUUUUGCGGUGUGUUUGCUAAGAUCCGAUGAAUUGUGGAUUUAUGAUCAGGUUAUCUAUGAGUAUUAUUUGAAUCUCCUAUGAAUUCUUAUAUGCAUGAUUUGAUAUCUUUGCAAGUCUCUUCGAACUACCGAUUUGGUUUGGCCAACUAGAUUGGUUUUUCUUGCAAUGGGAGAGGUGCUUAACUUUGGGUUCAAUCUUGCGGUGCUCGAUCCCAGUGACAGAAGGGGAUGAUACGUCUCCAACGUAUCUAUAAUUUUUUAUUGUUCCAUGCUAUUAUUUUAUCAACCUUGGAUGUUUUAUAUGCAUUUAUAUGCUAUUUUAUAUGAUUUUUGGAACUAACCUAUUAACCUAGAGCCCAGUGCUAGUGCCAGUUUCUGUUUUUUUCCUUGUUUUAGGGUUUCGAAGAAAAGGAAUAUCAAAUGGAGUCCAAACGGAAUGAAACCUUCGGAAAAGUUAUUUUUGGAAAGAAAGUAAUACGGUAGACUUGGAGUGCACGUCCGGGGAUCAACGAGGAAGCCACGAGGCAGGGGGCGCGCCCACCCAUCUUGGGCACGCCCUCCACCCUCGUGGCUCCCCAAAUGUAUUUCUUCCACCUAUAUAUAUAUCCAUAUACCCCAAAACGAUCGAGGAGCACAAUAGAUCGGGAGUUUCGCCGCCAGAAGCCUCCGUAGCCACCGAAAGCUAAUCUAGACCCGUUCCGGCACCCUACCGGAGGGGGAAUCCCUCUCCGGUGGCCAUCUUCAUCAUCCCGGUGCUCUCCAUGACGAGGAGGGAGUAGUUCUCCCUCGGGGCAAAGGGUAUGUACCAGUAGCUAUGUGUUUGAUCUCUCUCUCUCUCUCUCUCUCUCUCUCUCUCUCUCGUGUUCUUGAGGUGAUACGAUCUUGAUGUAUCGCGAGCUUUGCUAUUAGAGUUGGAUCUUAUGUUGCUUCUCCCCCUCUACUUUCUUGUAAUGGAUUGAGUUUCCCCUUCGAAGUUAUCUUAUCGGAUUGAGUCUUUAAAAAUUUCAAAACACUUGAUGUAUGUCUUGCCGCGCGUAUCUGUCGUGACAAUGGGAUAUCAUGUUAUUCACUUGAUGUAUGUUAUGGUGAUCAACAUGCGGGUUCCGCCCAUGAACCUAUGCAUAGGGGUUGGCACACGUUUUGAGGUUCUAUGUGUUGGUUGAAUAGAUGAAUCUAGAUUGUGUGAUGCAUAUCGUAUAAUCAUACCCACGGAUACUUCAGGUGACAAUGGAGUAUCUAGGUGGCAUUAGGGUUUUGGUUGAUUUGUGUCUUAAGGUGUUAUUCUAGUACGAAAUCUAGGACUGUUUGUGACACUUAUAGGAAUAGCCCAACGGAUUGAUUGGAAAGAAUAACUUUGAGGUGGUUUUGUACCCUACCAUAAUCUCUUCAUUCGUUCUCCGCUAUUAGUGACUUUGGAGUGACUCUUUGUUGCAUGUUGAGGGAUAAUUAUGUGAUCCAAUUAUGUUAUUAUUGUCGAGAGAACUUGCACUAGUGAAAGUAUGAACCCUAGGCCUUGUUUCGACGCAUUGCAAUACCGUUUACGCUCACUUUUAUCAUUAGUUACCUUGCUGUUUUUAUAUUUUCAAAUUACAAAAACCUUUAUCUACCAUCCAUAUACCACUUGUAUCACCAUCUCUUCACCGAACUAGUGCACCUAUACAAUUUACCAUUGUAUUGGGUGUGUUGGGGACACAAGAGACUCUGUGUUAUUUGGUUGCAGGGUUGCUUGAGAGAGACCAUCUUCAUCCUACGCCUCCUACGGAUUGAUAAACCUUAGGUCAUCCACUUGAGGGAAAUUUGCUACUGUCCUACAAACCUCUGCACUUGGAGGCCCAACAACGUCUACAAGAAGAAGGUUGUGUAGUAGACACCAAGCUCUUUUCUGGCGCCGUUGCCGGGAAGGUGAGUGCUUGAAGGUAUAUAUUUAGAUCUUGCAAUUGAAUCUUUUUGUUUCUUGUUUUAGCACUAGUUUAGUUUAUAAAAGAAAACUACAAAAAAACGGAAUUGAGUUUACCUCACACGCUUCAUCUUUUUAAUAUCUUUCGUGAGUAUGAUGGAAAGAAAAAUUGUGCCAAAGUGUUAGAAGAAGAAUGCAUUAAAAUGUUUGGCAUUAAAUAUUUGAAUGAUGAGCAUUAUUGCAAUGUUGUUAGUAUGAAUUCCUUGAAUAUCCAUAGUGCUAAUGAUGAUUGCACUAGUUAUGAUGAAAAUGUCUCAUGUAAACAUGUCAAUUUUUGUGGAGUGCAUUGGGUUUGCAAGUACACACCAAUUAGGGAAGAUAGAUUUUGCAAGAGGCAUAAGUACUUAGAAACUAAAUUGUUGCAAGAAAGGCUAGAUGAAUGUGCUGAAAAUUUAAAUUUUCUUGGCCAUACUUGUGAGCUUUGCCAUGAACAUGGUCAUUUAACCAUCCGAUGCAAAUUGUUUCAUGAUCUAAUCAUUUCCAAAAAUUGUGAUGACUUGAUUUCCCUUGCACAUCAUAAUGAACUUAGUUUGCUUAUGGGUUAUGAAGAAAUGAAAUGUAUAACUAACUAUCUUCCAGUAUUUGCCCGUGAUAAACUUCUUGGAUUUGAUCUAGAGGAAAUUUAUAUGUAUUGUGCGGUGAAUUGCAUUGAAAACCCCUAUAUUGCCAAUUACAUAAAGAAAAGAAAACAAAUAGAGGAUGAACAGAAUACUAAUGAAAGGGAAGAAACCUUCCAAUAUCCUCCUAUUAUUUCUUAUAAUGAACUAGGUAACGAGGAGGAGCCUCCUAUUCAACCAAUCUCAUUAAUAAGGAGCUCCAAAAAGAGGAUUGAACCCACACACGAUGUAGUGAAGAAGAAGAAAAGAAAGAGGAAGAGAGGUAAGAAGAUAUCUCUCCCAAAUAAUGCUGCUCCUAUUACUAUUGUGCCUCAUGAAAAUAUAAUUGUGGAAGAUAAUGAUACUUCUUAUGAUCUUGAUAAUCCUUUUGUCACUUGCUUGGAAGAAUAUGAUAAUUGCUAUACUAUUGGUUCUAUCCAUACUAUUAAUGAUGAGAGUGAUUAUGCUUAUGAUAUGAAAAGGCCCAAGCUUUGGGAUGCUAUGUUGGAUGAAGAUGAUGUUUUUGAGAAUAUAUUUGCUACAAUUAAUGUUUGUCCCAAGCUUGGGGAUGCUACGUUUAAUCAAGAUGAUAUUUUUAGUCUCCCAAGUUUUGAUAUGCAAAUUUAUAAUGAUGAUAGCAUGCCUCCUACUUAUGAUGAUUAUUGUGAUGAUACUUAUGCUAUAAAAAGUAGUGAUUAUAUUUAUAAAACUUGUCAUGAUUAUGGUUACCCCUUUUCUGAACAUUACUCUUUUAAUGUGGAAACAAUUUAUAGUAUUCGAGUUUCUUAUGAUACUCCCACUAUUCCGAAUGAGAAGAAUUUUGCUUGUGUAGAGAGUAAUAAAAUUUCUAUGCUUGUAGAUCAUGAAAAGAAUGCUUUAGGUUCUGGUUAUAUUUUUGAAUUCAUUCAUGAUGCUGCUGAAAAUUAUUAUGAGGGAGGAACAUAUGCUUGUAGGAAUUGCAAUAAUAUCAAGUUUCCUCUCUAUGUGCUUAAAGUUUUGAAGUUAUGCUUGUUUUGCCCUCCUAUGCUAGUUGAUUAUUGUUCCCAUAAGUUGUUUGCUCACAAAAUCCCUAUGCAUAGGAAGUGGGUUAGACUUACAUGUUCUAGUCAUAUGCUUCAUGAUGCUCUCUUUAUGUUUCAAUUCUUAUCUUUUAUGUGAGCAUCAUUGAAAUCAUCAUGCCUAGCUAGGGGCGUUAAACGAUAGCGCUUGUUGGGAGGAAACCCAACUUUAUUUUUGUUCCUUGAUUUUUGCUCCUGUCUAGCAAUAAAUAAUUUAUCUAGCCUCUGUUAUGAUUGAGUUUUUAUGUUAGAACCGUUGGGAAGACUUGGGGAAAGUCUUGGCGAUCAUGCUGUAAAAAAACAGAAACUUUAGCGCUCACGAGAACUGCUGACAUUUUUUAUUGGAGAGUGCUAUUUGGUUAAUUAUUUUUGCAGAUGAUUAAUAGAUAAAUUCCUCAUGUCCAGCAAUUUAUUUUAGAAUUUUUGGGGCUCCAGAAGUUUGCGUUAGUUACAGAUUACUACAGACUGUUCUGUUUUUGACAGAUUCUGUUUUUCGUGUGUUGUUUGCUUAUUUUGAUGAAUCUAUGGCUAGUAAAAUAGUUUAUAAACCAUAGAGAAGUUGUAAUACAGUAGGUUUAACACCAAUAUAAAUAAAUAAUGAGUUCAUUACAGUACCUUGAAGUGGUGUUUUAUUUUCUUUCGCUAACGGAGCUCAUGAGUUUUCCAUUUUAAGUUUUGUGUUGUGAAGUUUUCAAGUUUUGGGUAAAGAUUUGAUGGAUUAUGGAAUAAGGAGUGGCAAGAGACUAAGCUUGGGGAUGCCCAAGGCACCCCAAGGUAAUAUUCAAGGACAACCAAAAGCCUAAGCUUGGGGAUGCCCCGGAAGGCAUCCCCUCUUUCGUCUUCGUUCAUCAGUAACUUUACUUGGAGCUAUAUUUUUAUUCACCACAUGUUACGUGUUUUGCUUGGAGCGUCAUUUUAUUUCAUUUUGUUUUGCUUGCUGUUUGAAUAAAGUAUCAAGAUAUGAAAUUAUUAAGUGGGAGAGUCUUCACAUAGUUGCAUAAGUAUUCGACUACUCAUUGAUCUUCACUUACAUCUUUCAGAGUAGUUUGUCAUUUGCUCUAGUGCUUCACUUAUAUCUUUUGAGAGCACGGUGGUGGUUUUAUUUUGUAGAAAUAGAUGAACUCUCGUGCUUCACUAAUAUUAUUUUGAGAGUCCUUAGAACAGCAUGGUAAUUUGCUUUGGUUAUGAAUUUAGUCCUAAUAUGAUGGGCAUCCAAGAGGGAUAUAAUAAAAACUUUCAUAUAAGUGCAUUGAAUACUAAGAGAAGUUUGAUACUUGAUGAUUGUUUUGAGAUAUGGAGAUAGUGAUAUUAAAGUUGUGCUAUUUGAGUAGUUGUGAAUUUGAGAAAUACUUGUGUUGAAGUUUGCAAGUCCCGUAGCAUGCACGUAUGGUAAACGUUAUGUAACAAAUUUGAAACAUGAGGUGUUCUUUGAUUGUCCUCCUUAUGAAUGGCGGUCGGGGACGAGUGAUGGUCUUUUCCUACCAAUCUAUCCCCCUAGGAGCAUGCAUGUAGUGCUUGGUUUUUGAUGACUUGUAGAUUUUUGCAAUAAGUAUGUGAGUUCUUUAUGACUAAUGUUGAGUCCAUGGAUUAUAUGCAUUCUCACCCUUCCAUCAUUGCUAGCCUCUUCGGUACCGUGCAUUGCCCUUUCUCACAUUGAGAGUUGGUGCAAACUUCGCUGGUGUAUCCAAACCCCGUGAUAUGAUACACUCUUUCACACAUAAACCUCCUUAUAUCUUCCUCAAAACAGCCACCAUACCUACCUAUUAUGGCAUUUCCAUAGCCAUUCUGAGAUAUAUUGCCAUGCAACUUUCCACCAUUCUGUUUAUCAUGACACAUUCAUCAUUGUCAUAUUGCUUAGCAUGAUCAUGUAGUUGACAUAGUAUUUGUGGCAAAGCCACCAUUCAUAAUUAUUUCAUACAUGUCACUCUUGGUUCAUUGCAUAUCCCGGUACACCGCCGGAGGCAUUCAUAUAGAGUCAUAUCUUGUUCUAGUAUCGAGUUGUAAUCUUUGAGUUGUAAAUAAAUAGAAGUGUGAUGAUAAUCAUUAAUAGAGCAUUGUCCCAAAAAAAGGAAGAGAAAGGCCAAAUAAAAAAGGGAAGCCCCCCCAAAAAAAGAAAAGAAAGGCCAAAAAAAAGAAAGGCCAGAUAAAAAAAUAAAAAAAUAAAAAAAUAAAAGGGACAAUGCUACUAUCCUUUUUCCACACUUGUGCUUCAAAGUAGCACCAUGAUCGUUAUGAUAGAGAGUCUCUUGUUUUGUCACUUUCAUAUACUAGUGGGAACUUUUUAUUAUAGAACUUGGCUUGUAUAUUCCAACAAUGGGCCUCCUCAAGUGCCCAAGGUCUUUGUGAGCAAGCAAGUUGGAUGCACACCCACUUAGUUUCUUUUGUUGAGCUUUCAUACAUUUAUGGCUCUAGUGCAUCCGUUGCAUGUCAAUCCCUAAUACUUGCAUUAACAUCAAUUUAUGGGCAUCUCCCUAGCCCAUUGAUUAGCCGCGUCGAUGUGAGACUUUCGUCUUUUUGUCUUGUCCACAUAACCCCCUCAUUAUAUUCUAUUCCACCCAUAGUGCUAUAUCCAUGGCUCACGCUCAUGUAUUGCGUGAAAGUUGAAAAAAGUUUGAGAUUACUAAAGUAUGAAACAACUGCUUGGGUUGUCAUCGGGGUUGUGCAUGAUGAGAGCAUUCUUGUGUGACGAAAAUGGAGCAUGGCCAAACUAUAUGAUUUUGUAGGGAUGAACUUUCUUUGGCCAUGUUAUUUUGAAAAGACAUGAUUGCUUAGUUAGUAUACUUGAAGUAUUAUUAUUUUUAUGUCACUAUUAAACUUUUGUCUUGAAUCUUAUGGAUCUGAAUAUUCUUGCCACAAUAAAGAGAACUACAUGGAUAAAUAUGUUAGGUAGCAUUCCACAUCAAAAAUUCUGUUUUUAUCUUAUACCUACUCGAGGACGAGCAGGAAUUAAGCUUGGGGAUGCUGAUACGUCUCCAACGUAUCUAUAAUUUUUAUUGUUCCAUGCUAUUAUAUUAUCAACCUUGGAUGUUUUAUAUGCAUCUUUAUGCUAUUUUAUAUGAUUUUUGGGACUAACCUAUUAACCUAGAGCCCAGUGCUAGUUUCUGUUUUUUCCUUGUUCUAGGGUUUCGAAGAAAAGGAAUAUCAAACGGAGUCCAAACGGAAUGAAACCUUCAGAAAAGUUGUUUUUGGAAAGAAAGCAAUACGGGAGACUUGGAGUGCACGUCAGGGGAUCAACGAGGAAGCCACAAGGCAGGGGGCACGCCCACCCCCUGGGCGCGCCCUCCACCCUCGUAGGCCCCUCGUGGCUCCCCUGAUGCAUUUCUUCCACCUAUAUGUACCAAUAUACCCUAAAACGAUCGGGGAGCACAAUAGAUCGGGAAUUCCGCCGCCAGAAGCCUCCGUAGCCACCAAAAGCCAAUCUAGACCCGUUCCGGCACCCUGCCGGAGGGUGAAUCCCUCUCCGGUGGCCAACUUUAGCAUCCCGGUGCUCUCCAUGACGAGGAGGGAGUAGUUCUCCCUCGGGGCUGAGGGUAUGUACCAGUAGCUAUGUGUUUGAUCUCUCUCUCUCUCUCUCUCUCUCUCUCGUGUUCUUGAGGUGAUACGAUCUUGAUGUAUCACGAGCUUUGCUAUUAUAGUUGUAUCUUAUGUUUCUUCUCCUCCUCUACUCUCUUGUAAUGGAUUGAGUUUCCCCUUCGAAGUUAUCUUAUCGGAUUGAGUCUUUAAAGAUUUGAGAACACUUGAUGUAUGUCUUGCCGUGCGUAUCUGUGGUGACAAUGGGAUAUCACGUGAUUCACUUGAUGUAUGUUUUCGUGAUCAACAUGCGGGUUCCGCCCAUGAACCUAUGCAUAGGGGUUGGCACACGUUUUCGUCGUGAUUCUUCGGUAGAAACUUUGGUGCACUCUUUGAGGUUCUAUGUGUUGGUUGAAUAGAUGAACCUGAGAUUGUGUGAUGCAUAUCGUAUAAUCAUACCCACAGAUACUUGAGGUGACAAUGGUUUGCUCACAAAAUCCCUAUGCAUAGGAAGUGGGUUAGACUUAAAUGUUCUAGUCAUAUGCUUCAUGAUGCUCUCUUUAUGUUUCAGUUCUUAUCUUUUAUGUGAGCAUCAUUGAAAUCAUCAUGCCUAGCUAGGGGCGUUAAACGAUAGUGCUUGUUGGGAGGAAACCCAACUUUAUUUUUGUUCCUUGCUUUUUGCUCCUGUUUAGCAAUAGAUAACUUAUCUAGCCUCUGUUAUGAUUGAGUUUUUAUGUUUUAAUUAGUGUUUGUGCCAAGUAGAACCAUUGGGAAGACUUGGGGAAAGUCUUUGCGAUCAUACUGUAAAAAACAGAAACUUCAGCGCUCACGAGAAUUGAUGGGCAUCUCCCUAACCCAUUGAUUAGCCGCGUCGAUGUGAGACUUUCUCCUUUAUGUCUUCUCCACAUAACCCCCUCAUUAUAUUAUAUUCCACCCAUAGUGCUAUAUCCAUGGCUCGCGCUCAUGUAUUGCGUGAAAGUUGAAAAAAGUUUGAGAUUACUAAAGUAUGAAACAAUUGUUUGGCUUGUCAUCUGGGUUGUGCAUGAUGAGAGCAUUCUUGUGUGACGAAAAUGGAGCAUGACGAAACUAUAUGAUUUUGUAGGGAUGAACUUUCUUUGGCCAUGUUAUUUUGAGAAGACAUGAUUGCUUAGUUAGUAUGCUUGAAGUAUUAUUAUUUUUAUGUCAAUAUUAAACUUUUUUCUUGAAUCUUAUGGAUUUGAAUAUUCUUGCCAGAAUAAAGAGAACUACAUGGAUAAAUAUGUUAGGUAGCAUUCCACAUCAAAAAUUCGGUUUCAUUAGCGGCGUGCCCUGCACCCAUUUAUCACGUCGUAUCUCUGUAGUAUGCGCAUUCCCAAUUUGUCACGACAUACCCUCCUUCAAACCUUCUUGCCCUUUCAGAUUAGCACGCCAAGCUAGCUAUGCACUAUGCGGGAACCUGCAUUUGAAAAAAAAAGAAUCUCAUUUCAUGGUAUCUUCCAUGAAGGACCCUCGUACAUGAGCUAUCUAGAUAUAAAUAGCCCUGUAUGUUUAGCAAACUUUGCAUAAGUGAAUAGAUCAAGGUCGUGGAACCCCAAGCCUCCAAUUACACACGGCCUCUCUACCAAUAAGAUCUCCAAAGACAUCAAGGAUACAAACAGCCAAAAAAGAAAAUAAAAAGGAAAAAAAUAAAAAAUACCCCACCAUGGUGAUCAAUCACAAGCAUCAGCAGCACUCUAACCACCACCAAAGACAACGCCCAGAUUACAAAAAAAAAUCUCGAAAAGCAAUGCCCCCAAGAAGGAAACAAUACACAAGCGUUGUCGUUGCCCGAUCGAAGAUCGUGGGUUUUCACCCUGGAAAAUUUUUGAGUUCACCCAAAAACAAUGCCUUCAACAAGGCCAUUGCCAAGUACAACAAAUAUGGCCAAGACCUUGGGUUUUCACCCUAGGAAUUGAGAGUCGAUGCUCGAGGAGUACCACCAAAAAUGCAGUCCACUAGUGUUGCCGCCCCCACUUGGCGAGGCCGCUGUUGCAAGUCACCAAACACCUGGCAUAUAGUUGUCAUCGCAUCCAAUACACCCUUCGGCCGAAGCUUCAAGACCUUGAUCCGUCUCCAACGUAUCUAUAAUUUUUGAUUGUUCCAUGCAAUUAUAUUAUCUGUUUUGGAUGUUUUAUAUGAGUAGGGCGUUUUGGUGCCCAGGCUCAUCUGCACCCGGUUAGAAAAAAUUCAUAAAAAAUUGAAACAAAUUCAAAAAAUUCCAAAUAAAAUUUGUAUGGUAGACAAUUUGAUGCGUGAGGCCCGCCACAAAUUUCAAGUCAUUUGGACAUAUGAGAAGCUCUCAGCAAAAAAGACAAAUCGGACCAAAAUAGUACAUGAGCAGUAAACAUUUUUACAGACCCUCAAUUUGUCUUUUUUGCUGAGAGCUGCUCAUAUAUUCAAAUGACUUGAAAUUUGGAGCGGGCCCCGCACAUCAAAAUUUCUAUCACACAAAUUUUAUUUGGAAUUUUUUGAAUUUUUCUAGUAUUUGUUUUGAUUUUUUUCAUCGGCACGGGUGCAGAUGAGCUCAGGUGCAGAAAUGGAUUUUCGGUUUUAUAUGCACUAUUAUGCUAUUUUAUAUGAUUUUUGGGACUAACCUAUUAAACUAGAGCCGAGUGCCAGUUCCUGUUUUUUCCUUGUUUUAGAAUUUCACAGAAAAGGAAUACCAAACGGAGUCCAAACGGAAUGAAACGUUUGCGAUGAUGUUUCUUAGACCAGAAGACAUCUAGAGGACUUGGAGUGCACGUUAGGAAAGCCAUGAGGUGGUCACAAUUACGGAGGGCGCGCCCCCACCCAUGUGGGCUCCUCGUGACUGUACCGACCUAUUUGUCCGCAUAUAUAUUCUCAAAUAUUCCAAAACCUACUAGGAGAGCCACAAAAACACUUUUCCACCGUCGCAACCUUCUGUACGCAUGAGAUCCCAUCUAGGGGCCUUUUCUGGCAUCCUGUCGGAGGGGGAUUCGAUCACGGAGGGCUUCUACAUCAACACCAUUGCCUCUCCGAUGAAGCGUGAGUAGUUUACCACAGACCUAUGAGUCCAUAGCUAGUAUCUAGACGGCUUCUUCUCUCUCUUUGAUUCUCAAUACCAUGUUCUCUUCGAUGUUCUUGGAGAUCUAUUCGUUGUAAUACUCUUUUUGCGGUGUGUUUGCCGAGAUCUGAUGAAUUGUGGAUAUAUGAUCAGGUUAUCUAUGAAUAUUAUUUGAAUCUCCUAUGAAUUCUUAUAUGCAUGAUUUGAUAUCUUUGCAAGUCUCUUCGAACUAUCAAUUUGGUUUGGCCAACUAGAUUGGUUUUUCUUGCAAUGGGAGAAGUGCUUAACUUUGGGUUCAAUCUUGCGUCUCCAAUGUAUCCCAGUGACAGAAGGGGAUGAUACGUCUCCAACGUAUCUAUAAUUUUUGAUUGUUCCAUGCUAUUAUAUUAUCAACCUUGGAUGUUUUAUAUGCAUUUAUAUGCUAUUUUAUUUGAUUUUUGGGACUAACCUAUUAACCUAGAGCCCAGUGCCAGUGCCAGUUUCUGUUUUUUCCUUGUUUUAGGGUUUCAAAGAAAAGGAAUAUCAAAAAGAGUCCAAACGGAAUGAAACCUUCGGAAAAGUUAUUUUUGGAAAGAAAGCAAUACGAGAGACUUGGAGUGCACGUCAGGGGAUCAACGAGGAAGCCACGAGGCAGGGGCGCGCCCACCCCCCUGGGCGCGCCCUCCACCCUCGUGGCUCCCCUAAUGUAUUUCUUCCGCCUAUAUAUAUAUCCAUAUACCCUAAAACGAUCGGGGAGCAUAAUAGAUCGGGUGUUCCGCCACAAGAAGCCUCCGUAGCCACCGAAAGCCAAUCUAGACCCAUUCCGGCACCCUGCCGGGGGAGGAAUCCCUCUCCGGUGUCCAUCUUCAUCAUCCCGGUGCUCUCCAUGACGAGGAGGGAGUAGUUCUCCCUCGGGGCUGAGGGUAUGUACCAGUAGCUAUGUGUUUGAUGUCUCUCUCUCUCUCUCUCUCUCUCUCUCUCUCUCUCUCUCUCUCGUGUUCUUGAGGUGAUACGAUCUUGAUGUAUCGCGAGCUUGGCUAUUAGAGUUGGAUCUUAUGUUUCUUCUCCCCCUCUACUCUCUUGUAAUGGAUUGAGUUUCCCCUUCGAAGUUAUCUUAUCGGAUUGAGUCUUUAAAGAUUUGAGAACACUUGAUGUAUGUCUUGCCGUGCGUAUCUGUGGUGACAAUGGGAUAUCACGUGAUUCAUUUGAUGUAUGUUUUGGUGAUCAAGUUGCGGGUUCCACCCAUGAACCUAUGCAUAGGGGUUGGCACACAUAUUCGUCAUGAUUCGCAGAAACUUUGGGGCACUCUUUGAGGUUCUAUGUGUUGGUUGAAUAGAUGAAUCUGAGAUUGUGUGAUGCAUAUCGGAUAAUCAUACCCACGGAUACUUGAGGUGACAAUGGAGUAUCUAGGUGACAUUAGGGUUUUGGUUGAUUUGUGUCUUAAGGUGUUAUUCUAGUACGAACUCUAGGGCUGUUUGUGACACUUAUAGGAAUAGCCCAAUGGAUUGAUUGGAAAGAAUAACUUGGAGGUGGUUUCAUACCCUACCAUAAUCUCUUCGUUCGUUCUCCGCUAUUAGUGACUUUGGAGUGAUUCUUUGUUGCAUGUUGAGGGAUAGUUAUGUGAUCCAAUUAUGUUAUUAUUGUUGAGAGAACUUGCACUAGUGAAAGUAUGAACCCUAGGCCUUGUUUCAACGCAUUGCAAUACCGUUUACGCUCACUUUUAUCAUUAGUUACCUUGUUGUUUUUAUAUUUUCAGAUUACAAAAACCUUUAUCUACCAUCCAUAUACCACUUGUAUCACCAUCUCUUCGCCGAACUAGUGCACCGAUACAAUUUACCAUUGUAUUGGGUGUGUUGGGGACACAAGAGACUCUUUGUUAUUUGGUUGCAGGGUUGGUUGAGAGAGACCAUCUUCAUCCUACGCCUCCUACGGAUUGAUAAACCUUAGGUCAUCCACUUGAGGAAAAUUUGCUACUGUCCUACAAACCUCUGCACUUGGAGGCCCAACAACGUCUACAGGAGGAAGGUUGUGUUGUAGACAUCAGGGGAACCGACACAUAUUGUAGUGUUUCCAUCGAGGAUAACAAGAUGGGGUUUUCGUCAUAUUGCUUGAGUUUAUCCCGCUACAUCAAGUCAUCUUACUUAAUGCGUUAUCCUGUUCUUAUGAACUUAGUACUCUAGAUGCAGGCAGGAGUCAGUGGAUGUGUGGAGUAAUAGUAGUAGAUGCAAGCAGGAGUCAGUCUACUUGAUACAAACGUGAUGCUUAUGUUCAUGAUCAUUGCCUUAGAUAUCGUCAUAAGUUUGCACUUUUCAAUCAAUUGCUCAGCAGUAAUUUGUUCACCCACCAUAAGAUUUUCUAUCUUGAGAGAAGCCUCUAGUGAAACUUAUGGCCCCGGGGUCUACUUUCCAUCAUAUAAGUUUCCGAUCUACAAAUGUGUUGGUUGAAUAGAUGAAUCUGAGAUUGUGUGAUGCAUAUCGUAUAAUCAUACCCACGGAUACUUGAGGUGACAAUGGAGUACCUAGGUGACAUUAGUGUUUUGGUUGAUUUAUGUCUUAAGGUGUUAUUCUAGUACGAACUCUAGGGCUGUUUGUGACACUUAUAGGAAUAGCCCAACGGAUUGAUUGGAAAGAAUAACUUUGAGGUGGUUUCGUACCCUACCAUAAUCUCUUCGUUCGUUCUCCGCUAUUAAUGACUUUGGAGUGACUCUUUGUUGCAUGUUGAGGGAUAGUUAUGUGAUCCAAUUAUGUUAUUAUUGUUGAGAGAACUUGCACUAGUGAAAGUAUGAACCCUAGGCCUUGUUUCAACGCAUUGCAAUACCGUUUACGCUCACUUUUAUCAUUAGUUACCUUGCUGUUUUUAUAUUUUCAGAUUACAAAAACCUUUAUCUACCAUCCAUAUACCACUUGUAUCACCAUCUCUUCGCUGAACUAGUGCACCUAUACAAUUUACCAUUGUAUUGGGUGUGUUGGGGACACAAGAGACUCUUUGUUAUUUGGUUGCAGGGUUGCUUGAGAGAGACCAUCUUCAUCCUACGCCUCCUAUGGAUUGAUAAACCUUAGGUCACCCACUUGAGGGAAAUUUGCUACUGUCCUACAAACCUCUGCACUUGGAGGCCCAACAACGUCUACAAGAAGGUUGUGUAGUAGACAUCAGGGGAACCGACACAUAUUGUAUUGUUUCCAUCGAGGAUAACAAGAUGGGGUUUUCGUCAUAUUGCUUGAGUUUAUCCCGCUGCAUCAAGUCAUCUUACUUAAUGCGUUAUCCUGUUCUUAUGAACUUAAUACUCUAGAUGUAGGCAGGAGUCGGUGGACGUGUGGAGUAAUAGUAGUAGAUGCAAGCAGGAGUCAGUCUAGUUGAUACAAACGUGAUGCUUCUGUUCAUGAUCAUUGCCUUAGAUAUCGUCAUAACUUUGCGCUUUUAUAUCAAUUGCUCAACAGUAAUUUGUUCACCCACCGUAAGAUUUUCUAUCUUGAGAGAAGCCUCUAGUGAAACUAUGGCCCCGGGGUCUACUUUCCAUCAUAUAAGUUGCCGAUCUACAAUUUUAGUUUCCUAUCACUUCCUUUGCAAUCUUUUACUUUCCGUUCCAUAAAUCAAAAAUACCAAAAAUAUUACUUUACCGAUUAUCCAUCUCUAUCAGAUCUCGCUUUGCAAAUAACCAUGAAGGAUUGACAACCCCUUUAUCGCAUUGGGUGUAAGGUGCUAUUUCUUUGUGCAGGUCAGUGACUUGUGCAUUGUCUCCUACUGGAUUGAUACCUUGGUUCUCAAAACUGAGGGAAAUACUUACUCUACUUUGCUGCAUCACCCUUUCCACUUCAAGGGAAAAACCAACGCAAGCUCAAGAGGAAGUAGGAAGAAUUUCUGGCACCGUUGCCGGGGACAUCUACGCCAAGUCAAGACAUACCAAGUACCCAUCAUAAACUCUCAUCUCUGGCAUUAUAUUAUUUGCCAUUCACCUCUCGUUUUCCUCUCCCCCACUUAUAAAAUGAUUUGCCUUUUCUUCGCCCUCUUCCAUUCGUCUUCUUCGCUUGCUUUUUGUGUGCUCAUGUGUUGGAUUGCUUGCUUUGUCACGAUGUCUCAAGAGAAUACCAAAUUGUGUGACUUUUCCAAUACCAACAACAAUGAUUUUAUUAGUACCCCGAUUGCUCCCGCUACUAAUGCGGAAUCUUGUGAAAUUAAUGCUGCUUUGCGGAGUCUUGUUAUGAAAGAUCAAUUUUCCGGCCUUCCCAAUGAAGAUGCCGCAUCCCAUCUAAACAAUUUCGUUGAUUUGUGUGUUAUGAAAAAGAAAAAAGAUAUGGAUAAUGAUAUUGUUAAAUUGAAGCUAUUUCCGUUGUCACUUCGAGAUCGUGCUAAAACUAGGUUUUCAUCUUUGCCUAAAAAUAGCGAGUGUCAUUUUUUAAUGCGAGUGAUUAGUUUUUAAAGAAUGAUUGGCAUUCUUUCUUAAUUGCUCAUCUACUAAUCGUUUGGCGUGUUUUCUUAUCUUGUCAAAAUCAUAUCCCCUGGCUGUAAAUAUCAAAGAAUAAUUUCAUUUGUUGGGCUUGGACUGUACUGUCCGAGAGUCAGAGUAUAAAUACCAUACGAUUUCAAGAGCAAUAGCAACGGGGCAACCAUUAGUCCAUACUCUACACCAUAUGGCUAGAAAUUUUAUAUUAUAUAUAACAAAGUUGUGACAAAUUGGAAAUGGAAAACAAUAAAAUGAAUAUGUUGCUAUAGGUUAUUAUUAUUACACAUGCACGUGUAUCUUGAUCCUUGCUUGGACAUAGGGUCCGAGGAAGUUACAUUGCUUUGACUACUGAUAUUGUUUGUGUCAAAGUGUGCCACAAUGGCAUAAAUAUUGUCGUUGCAUAAUGGGAAACCACGUCAUAUUUAUCGAUGAUAUGUGGAAAUAGGGAUGAGCUACUUUAUGAAGAUAUAUAAGGAUGUAUGGGUUACGUUGGUGGAAAAUGUUGUUAUGAACACAAAUGCAGUUGCAUUUAUCCUGCAUUCGCGGUGAAGUGCGCUAUUGUGGCAUAUAUCUUCCUUUUUGCCACAGAAGCAUGGUAGAAUUAUAAAGAGAGUAUGUUUCUAUAGACAUUUCAAAAAGGAGAUUUGUGUAUACUCUCAUUAUACUGUAAGCACCAUAGAUUAUUCAGAUUAGAAGUUGUUGUCUCUACCACAUAUUUAUAUUUUCUAUACAUACUAAUAUCGCAUAGAAAAUCAUGUAUUUAUAUGAGAUCUUUGUGGUGCAUGAUAAAGCAAGAUUCCUUUUGUUAUUGCAGCAAUUUAUAAGUAUUUAAAUAUAUACUAAUAGCUAGUUUCUUCUGUGUUAUAAGGACAAAAUAAGACAUGCAUAGACAUGCAAAUACGUAUUAGAAAUCUGCUACUCCAAAUGUAUCAUGUUAAUCCAUGUAAGCCACGAAUCGCGUGCAUAUCAGGCAAAGCAGUUUUUUUUGUAAAAACAAUACAUAAUACUAAUCGAUGGUAUAGACGAUUCAAUACAUAUGCAUCAAGACACCGCUACCUUGCACAUAGUGAUAUAGGAUGGAAUUGAAUCUGAUCCGCUCCUUUCCAACUUAAUCGAGUAAUGUGUACUUCUCAUAAAUAGGCAUGUAUAUAGUAAUUGUUCUUUUGACCAAAUGCUUGGUAUAUUAAUGAUCACAUUAUACAUUUAUGUAACAUUUCUUACUUGCGAAAUCUUUUACAAAUUGGAAUAUGGGAAUUUUAUUAAUACCUAGAAGAAAUACUACUAUUCAGAAAAUAUAAUAACUGGUACUAUACUUUUUCUUAAUAUUGGUACUAUACUUAAUUGGACCAAAAGUUACACAUAUUUUUGAUUAGUUCAUUUUUUUCUACAGAUUUAUCAGCGCCAUUAUUUCUCUAUGGUUGACAUGUAUAUGAACUACUGUCUGUAUAUAUUGAUCUGCAUUUAGACAAAUAUCAGGGACAAACACACAUACUGUUUAGCAUGUGUAGUUGUAAAGGUAGAAUACUGAUUUGUAGUAUUAAGCAAAUACAUUUAUAAGAUCUUACUACAAUGUAUAUGGAUUGAGAAUCAGAGAAAUAACCAAGUGUUGUGCAAGGAUCAUUCUGACUAUCCAGUGGCAGAAUAAAAAUAGGAUGCUAAGCGCGGGGAGAAUACAUAUGUCCUAUAAACCUGCAAAUAAGAAGCAUCCAUUCACCAUAUAUUAAAAUUCCAAAUUUGAUAGUUCCUUUGCAUGUUGGAAAUAAGCUUUGCCCCUUGUGAUAUGGAUUAUCACGUAGAAUGGAAAGAGGAGAAAAAAAUUAUGGCUUAGCAGAAUCAAUGAGGGAAAGCACUACAUGUGAAGUAUCAAAACGUUGUGAUAGCACGAACCCCACCAGAUUUGAACUCGUGCUCUUAGUAUGACAUGAAAAGAGGGGCUACUCUCCAAUCGAAGUGAAAAUAGUAGAACUUUGAACUUAUAUAUAUAUACGCUUAAAAAUUCUAAAAGCAAAUGGUCAAAAACUCAGAAUAGCUUGAGCGGGCACUACUUGCUAACUCAAGCACAUGGCAACACAGUAUUAAGUCAAGAUUUUGCAACCGAGAGGGAAAGUCAAAUAAAUAAAUAAAUAAGGAUUCUCAUCAAACCUGUGAAUCCAAGCUAGUAUAUAACUAUUGUAUUGCCCAUUGUUUGCAUAGGCGGUAAACAAUUCUGUGUCGGUUUGCAUUUCCAGAUGUGGCUCUAUAUCCUCCCCUUCUAUCGGAAUGCCAAAUAUACCUUGCACGUCCUCUUUUGUUAUAGGAAUUGGCGUUUUACCGAUGGUAAUGGAUUGCGUGUCCAUAUCUAUGCUCUUGGCUAGUCUAACCAACAUUAUGCGCCGUAGAGUCACUUCAUGCAUCUGGGUCAGACCGGCAAGACUGGUUUCUGAUAUGAUGUACUUUCUGUGGUCUUGUGACAACAGUUUCAUGGUUUUUCCGAACCUUGUCUGUGAGCAUACUAACUUCAUAUGACCAUGCUUUUCGGCGAGUUCCUGUUACAUGCCAUUAAAUAUUACUGAGUACACAUGAAUUAUGUGUACGAAACGAUUGUACCCAAACAGUAAAUUACUUACCGCAUCGGUAAUUUCGGAGAUGGGCUUUUCUCCAUUAUUAAGGUUCGUAUCUGAAACUGACAUUGCUGCCUCGUAUGCAAUGAUAAAAUCAGGCUCAAUUAAUCUGAACAAAAUUGGAAAAUGUAUAACAAAAUUAGCAGAGAAUUAAUUUUAACAAAAUUAACUGGGUCAUUUAACAUAUGAUCCACUUAUGGGUUUAAGCACAGAACCUAUUUGGGUGCAAAACCUAUGAGGGUUCAACAACUAAAGCAUCGGCGGACAACGAUUAUAAAGAGUUACAAUCAGCUAAGACCUUACCUCGGAGAUGGUGCCACCGAGUAGAUGGCGGCGGUUAGUGCGUCGGAAACUAUAAGUGCCGGUAUAGCGCGGUCGACGGCGCAAAGGAAAAACAGCAUGUUCACGCGAGGAGGAGGCGGCGAGAAGAACACUGACGUCCGAGCCCUUAGAUCACGUUGGCGGUGGGCGGCGAGUGGUGGCCGCCGACUCCUGUAUUCCGUGGGCGACCGGCGUCUCCGAUCUGAUCUUGCAGCGGUCGUGGGAGGUGCGGACGGCCCGGGUGGUUAGAAUGCGGAGCUGUAAUCGCGGGAUUUAGGGAGGGGUGGGCCGCGUGAGUUAUGUGAGAUUUGGAUAAAUGAUAUAAAGAAAUAAGAAAAUCUUGUGAACUCGAUGUGGGGUUUAUGGGGUUUAGGGUUUAGGGGUUUAGGGUUAUUAGGGUUUAGGGGUUUAGGGGUUUAGGGGUUUAGGGUUAUCAGGGGUUAGAGUUAUCAGGGUUUAGGGUUGAGUGUUUACAUGCAAGCCCGGAAAUGCGCGUGUCAGAGAACGUACUUGCAUGUAUAUGUACUAAUGAUCCCAAACUUUCUUAAUGGCAUCCCAUGACCACAUAGAGAAUGAAUGCAUAAUGGUUUCCAUGUUGGGCAAAAUUUUGAAUGUUUUUACGGUUUAGUGGGGGGGUGGGGUUAGGGUUAUGAGGGUUUAGGGUUUAAGGGUUCUAGGGUUGACGGAACUAUGUUUGUCUUACGGUGGACGUAGCACACACACCGGACAUUGGUGGAGCGUUGUCUACAAUGGACUCCCUCUGGUAGCAUCGAUCCGAUCCGUUGAAUGGCUCGGCCGACAAACUUCGUGCCAGAUAGAGCAUGCAUCCAUCCACUGGACCGGAUCAAUGUUGGGUUCGUUUCAUACAGGUGAGGAAAGCAGCUAGUGCUUUCGGGGUGUUGACAUGCUAGGCCAGAAAUGUGCGUGUCAGAUUUCGUACUUGCAUGUAUAAUCCCAAACUUUUUNNNNNNNNNNNNNNNNNNNNNNNNNNNNNNNNNNNNNNNNNNNNNNNNNNNNNNNNNNNNNNNNNNNNNNNNNNNNNNNNNNNNNNNNNNNNNNNNNNNNNNNNNNNNNNNNNNNNNNNNNNNNNNNNNNNNNNNNNNNNNNNNNNNNNNNNNNNNNNNNNNNNNNNNNNNNNNNNNNNNNNNNNNNNNNNNNNNNNNNNNNNNNNNNNNNNNNNNNNNNNNNNNNNNNNNNNNNNNNNNNNNNNNNNNNNNNNNNNNNNNNNNNNNNNNNNNNNNNNNNNNNNNNNNNNNNNNNNNNNNNNNNNNNNNNNNNNNNNNNNNNNNNNNNNNNNNNNNNNNNNNNNNNNNNNNNNNNNNNNNNNNNNNNNNNNNNNNNNNNNNNNNNNNNNNNNNNNNNNNNNNNNNNNNNNNNNNNNNNNNNNNNNNNNNNNNNNNNNNNNNNNNNNNNNNNNNNNNNNNNNNNNNNNNNNNNNNNNNNNNNNNNNNNNNNNNNNNNNNNNNNNNNNNNNNNNUUUAGGGUUAACGGAACUAUGUUUUUCUUACGGUGGACUUAGCACACACACCGGACAUUGAUGGAGCGUUGGUCUACAAUGAAUUCCCUCCGGUAGCAUCGAUCCGUUCCGUUGACUGGCUCGGACGACAAACUUCGUGCCACAUAGAGUAUGCAUCCAUCCACUAGACCGGAUCGAUGUUUGGUUGGUUUCAUACAGGUGAGGAACCCAGCUAGUGCUUUUGGGGUGUUGACAUGCUAGGCCGGAAAUGUGCGUGUCAGAGAUCGUACUUGCGUGUAUAAUCCCAAAAAUCUUUCAUGGCAUCCCAUGACCACAUAGAGAAUGCAUGCAUAAUGGUUUCCAUGUUGGGCAAAAUUUUGAAUGUUUUUACGGUUUAGUGGGGGGGGGUGGGGUUAGGGUUAUCAGGGUUUAGGGUUUACGGGUUCUAGGGUUGACGAAGCACACACACCGGACAUUGAUGGAGCGUUGGUCUACAAUGGAGUCCCUCCUGUAGCGUCGAUCUGGUCCGUCGACUGGCUCGGUCGACAUACUUCGUGCCACAUAGAGCAUGCAUGCAUCCACUGAACCGGAUCAAUGUUGGGUUGGUUUACAUGUACAUGUACACGGACCCGAAAUGCGCGUGUCAGAGAUCGUACUUGCGUGUACAUGUACCAUCCUUCCAUCCACUGGCUGGGCCGACAACCUUCAUGCCACAUUGUUCACAUUGUCCAAUUAACACUUUGUAUAGAUUUUUUUCAUAAAAAAUGAACGAAAUAAUGCAACUAAUCUGAACAUAACGUUUGGCAUAUAUCAAACCAAGUUGCCACUAUUCCUCAAAAAAAAGAACCCAGUUAGCCACUAAUUGCGCCAAACAUAUCUCGUAAUUACGAACGAAAAUGGGUUGACAAUUAUAUCUGGAAAUUCUUGGACUGAAUUUAAUGCUCUUCCUUUUUUAGAGAACAAUAAGUUAGAAUGGUGGGCGGCGGGUUGGCACGGGCACGGCCAUGGCUCGGGCUUGUGUCAUAUGUGGUUCGACCCGCGGUCAGUGCACAUGUUUUCGAAGCCCUGAAAAGAUCGUGCUCGUUAAAAAAAACUUGCAUCGACGCGCAUUACUUCAAAAUAACUAAUUAACCCUACAAUCACGGAUAUAGACCUUCCCAUUCUACCGCAUAUCUACCCUAUCCUAUCCACCCCAUCUACCUUGUUUCUCCUCACAUAGCCAUCGCCGGGAUCGCGCCAUCGCUUCUCAAGCGACCACGCCGACGCCGGAUUAAAAAGGUCUCUUCCACGGCUUCUCUCAUCUUCGAUUGCAGUGCUGAUUAUUUUUUCCAUUGAUUCGACCAACAAGUAAUUUCCGAAGAGAUUAGAAAAUCCAGCUUUUGCCAUAGUUGAGUAGUUCUGUUGUGAUUCGAGUACAGGAUGUCAUGCAAGAGCUUUUUGAUUAAUAGUUUGUACUAGUUGAUCAUACGAACUUAUUAUGAAUAUUUUUUCACGGUCGUAUUGUUUCGAAUUAGUUGGAUGAGGGUGUGGAUACAGUUUUCAUACUAUGGGUAUAUGUGUUGCUGUAGGGACCAUGGUCUCAGAGGCGCAUAACAACCGUGCGGAGUACGACAAGUCUUUGCAUGAAGCGCGUCGGGAGAUCGACUUGAAGGUGCAAAAGGAUCGCGCUGAGGUAGAUAAGAAACUGAAAAAAGAACGUUCAUACGUGGACAGGAUGAUAAAGGAGGAGCGUGAGGAGUUUUCCCUUAAGAUGGCGAAGAUGCGUCUUGAGAUUGAAGAAAAGUAUAAGAGGGACUGUGAGCACAUGGAAAAAAAGUUUGUCUUAGGCUACAAGGAAAUGCAUCAAACGUUGCAGAAGGACCGGAAGCUUGUGGACAGUAUUAUACAGACAGAGCGAGUCAGGAUGGAUGCCUAUGUGUUGCAGGCACGUGCGGAUAUGGACAGUAAGCUGCUACAGGAGCGGUCAGACAUGGAUUAUAAGGCCAUGCUGGAGAAGGUCCGCUUGGAAGGACAUAUGUUAGAAGACCGUGCGAUCUCACGGCCACCACGACAACAUGUCAUCAAUUAUUCUCCCCCUGUAAGUAUCUCGCACCGAUUCUAUAUAUUAAGGACCUACGUAUUCUAUGAUAUAAACAUCUUCAAUUUGUGGCAACCUUAUGUCGGCGAUUGUAUGUAGGCUAAGCAUCAUGACACGGCACAGUCGCCAUUCACUCGACACAUUGCGAUAGAGUCACCCGUUCAAUGCCACAUCAGUCCACCCCAACAACAUAUCGUCAAUUCUCCCCUUGUAAGUACCUCGCAACGAUGCAUACCCAAGAUAUGGUAUGACCUUUCAAAACUUGUGUGUAAACCCACUAUCAACGUUUCAUACGCAGGAUAAGAAACCUGUGAUGGCAAAGUCCCCAGUCACACCACAUGAAGGAUACAUUCCACAUAAUAAGGUGAGAAGGUUUGAGAUGGCACAAUCCCCAGUCACUCCACAUAAAGGAUACAUUCCACAAAAACAGGUAACAACGCCGCAAUGUUGCUAUGCACAUAAAAAAUUAUGUGUGCCCCUUUACUCAUUGAAUGUAUUAACUCUGAUGUGAGAUACUAGGUGCUGGUCAUGGAAUUUUUUGUUAGUAGGGAUGAUGAGAUGUCACAUGUCCCGAGAGCAUAGUUUGAUGAACACCCGGCAGAAGUCAGAAUUUUUGAACCCGCCAAAGUUGCCUACGAUCUCAUUAUGAGUGAAAUGAGAGAUACUUUUGGUUGCAAACUGGGAGCAGAACUGUACUACUUCUUACCCGGGUCUGCGUGGAAGCUGCCAGAAGGAAUGUUCUUGAUUGCAGGACUAGAUGAUGUACAAAAAAUGCUUUUUGAUCUGAAUGGCAGCAAGACAUGUCACCUGUACAUUGUGUACAAUAGAACUAUGGGUUGUUUUCCCGAGGAUGACAUUGAUUCCGAGGUUCAAAUUUUACAUGUUACAUGCAUCUAGUUUAUGGCUACGUCUUUUUUGAGUUCUUCCUAAUACAAUUCCUAUGGUUUUCUACAGGAAGUGAGAAUCCAAGAAAUGGAGGGUCUUGCUAGAGAGUUGGCAGAGAAAGACCAAGAACAACUUAAGUUGUAUGGUUACAUUGAUGUUAAAGAGAAAAAGAUUGAAGCACGUGGGUCGUCGCCAAGCCCGACGCAAUCUCCAACGACGCAACGCAAGAGGUCACUGGAUUUUGGCAGUGCAAAAGACAAUAUGGAGUAGGCUCAAUUGUUUUUCAACCAGUUAAAGCUUCAAACCAGGAUUAUUUAGUUGCAAACAAACAUUUUAUUUUCUGUUUCACACUAUGUUCGCAAUUAUGGUACAAUUUAUUCAUGAGACAUUUCGUUGAACAACAAUGCAUGUGUUUUAUGAUCAAUCAUACAGUUGUUUCUGAGUUGUUUUUGAGAUGGCAUUGUGUCUAAAGAAGUUUCCAUCUAUAAAACUUGGCACACAGUCGCAUCAGAAUCACGUAUCACGCGAGAGGCGUGCGUCGCACGGGAGAGCGUCGCACGCGAGCUUGUUUUCGGGUAGAAAUCAUAACAUAUUUCGGAUAGAUAAAGUUCACGUCCGCCACCCGCGCAUGCAAACCCACGUCGCCGCCAUUCCCAUGCAUGCAUGCCUCAGGCGCAAACAACGAGACGGCCCAUCCGAAUGAGGCCCAUCCGAAGUAGGCCAUUAGAACCCUCCCCCCACUCCACCUAUUCCCCUCGCACUGUGGCCUCCCUCCCUCCAUCGCCAGAUCCCCCACUCGUCCCUCUUUGUCCGCCGCCCCUGCACGCCGUCGGCGACUCCACCCCCGCCGCCCCCGCGCCCCCUCCUCAACCACCGCAGGACAACGCAGGUACCACAGUUUCUGUUGACGUCUCAAUGGUAUCCAUGCAGAUAAUGCUAGGUAGAUCGACUGAGUGUAGCAAUUUUGUGCCACCAUCUGAAACUUGUGAUGCUUGCUACUGUAUAAUAUAGGACUUUUCAAAGUUCUGUUAUGAUGGCACUAUUGGACACAUAUAGUAGAGCUGCGUUUUUAGUUGUUAUACUUUCAUUUACCAUCACUGCUUGGGAAAGGACGAAUUGGAUGCAUUUAGGUCUGCAGUUGAUAGUAUAUCAUCAUAAUGUAGGUGCUGUGUUGUGUGAUUCUUCAUGCUGAGAACUUCGGCUUUUUCAGUUAUAGUGAAAGGCUUAUGUAUAGAAAAACUACUAAAUGAUCACAAAAACUUCUAGACAACAUUCUGUAUGAUCUGACCAAAACUUGAACUAAAUGAUCACCAAAAGUUGAAGGAUUUUGCAUCACAUCACAACCAUAAGUGUUUUGCAACAGCAUCAUAACAAUCACAUAACUACAUAACAAAAGCAAACUUGUUCAUCAUUACAAAAGCAAACUUGUUCAACAUAACAAAAGCUAACUUGUUCAGCAAUACAAAAGCAAACUUGUUCAACAUAACAAAAGCUAACUUGUUCAGCAUUACAAAAGGAAACUUGUUCAACCACAUAACUGCAAACUGAGACACAUAAUACCACAAACAACUCAAUAUCCUCAGUAGUAGGGGCCAUCCCAAUGAUGCUCCGCCUCUUGCCAGUACUCCAAACCUUCUUUGACGAUAUCGAUUUUCUUCCAUGCCUCGUAGGUGACGUACACAUCUUUUGCUGCGUACUCGAUGAGGUUGUUUGGCAGUGGGCUGUCCCCCCAUAGUUUGUGGUCCAAUUCCUUGUUGAUCUUCUUCUUCAUUUCCUUGUACGAUGGGUGGAUGAGGCUGGCUGCAAACUCAGCCAAAGCCUGCCACUUCUUUCCAUUCCUUGGAACUCUCCAUUUGCGCUGCAUGUCGACAUACUUGUCGGGGUUGAUCUCCAAACCAGACAAUUUCAGCUUCUCCUUGUCACCUCCAAUGGAGAUGCCAACAAAGGUGUAGAGCUUCUUCUCCUGCAGGAGCGGGCGGAGUUCCUUAGGCCUGCAUCAAAUUAAUCUGGUGCAUCAAAUUCAUCUACUUCAAAAACUUUAGAAACUACUAAUUAGACAUAAAAUUCAGAACUAGUAUUGCAUCUACUCCAGAACUUCAGAACUAGUAUUGCAUCUACUUCAGAACUUCAGAACUAUUGCAUCUACUUGAGAAACUUCAGAAACUUCAGAACUAUUGCAUCUACUUGAGAAACUUCAGAAACUACUAAUUAGACAGAAACUUCAGAACUAGUAUUGCAUCUACUUCAGAACUAUUGCAUCUACUUCAGAAACUACAGAAACUACUAAUUAGACAGAAACUUCAGAACUUCAGAACUAGUAUUGCAUCUACUUCAGAACUACAGAACUAUUGCGUCUACUUCAGAAACUUCAGAAAUUACUAAGUAGACAGAAACGUCAGAACUUCAGAAACUUCAGAACUAGAUGUUUUUACCAUUUGGUUGCCGCGGUGAUGUGGUAUACCAGGACGAGAUCCUCCACGCAUAACUGUAGAACUGCAGCCUUUUGCGGAGGUUCAUCUUCCCUCGUAUACUCGACAUCAACGCCGAUCGACCGAGGAAACAUGCCGCCGAGCCUCCUCCUGAUCUCGCGGAUCCUCUUGUCGGCUUCGCCUGGAUUGCUGGUGCAUACGACAUCCAGCUUCUCCUUCAGGUGGAUAUCAACCAUGAGCUUCACGGUGUAGUCCUGCUUCUGCCCGGGGACCGGAACAUCGUCGUCGACCACCAGCGGCUCCUUGCCAGACGCCUCACCUUGGUGAUGCUUGCCAGAUGGAGGGGAGUUGCUCCAUGAUGCCUCCGCCAUUUUCUUGGCAGACGGAGGGGAGUUGCUCCAUGAUUCCUCUGCGAUUGCCCUCCUGGCCAGCGAUGGUGGAGGCAGAGGGGAGUUGCUUGAUGGUGGAGGCAGAGGGGGGAAGAUGGAGCGGCAAUGGAAUAAGGAGGGAGGCAGAGGGAGGCAGAUUGAGCGGCAAUGGAAUAGGAGGGGAGUUCCCUGCGUCGUGGGGAGUUGCCAAUGAAGGGGAGUCGUGGGGAGUUGCCAGUGGAAGGGAGGCGUGGGGAGUUGCCUCAAAAACUCAAACGUCCUGCCCUUUGGCCCUUGAAAAAUCUGGAGGGGAGACGUGGGCCCUUUGGUUUGUCCUGUUUCUGAAACAAAACAAAAAAAAUAACAGCCAUAUUUUCCUCUCACUGCAACCAUAUUAAGAGAUAAAAAAUGGCACCAAAAAGUCACUGCAGCCAUCCUAAAUGGCACGAAAACAGCACCAAAACAACAUCAGCCAAAACAACAAAAAAUGCAUCCAUCGAUCGUUCUUUAUUUCUUGUAACAUUCCGUGUUUUGUGCAGUGAGAUAGACACAACACUACAAAUGCAGGCUGACAACGCCCGCGAUUUCAUGACCAUCAGGACAGACGGCGGCUUCAUCCACGCUCCGGUCCCAUGAGUCGAGUCGAAAGUAGUGAUGCUAUGUGUAGUUCUGAAACAUUGAUUGGCUCAUGUUGUAAUUAAACUUUAAUGAAUUGUAUGUCUCUUUGGUUUGGACAGUCGUUAAACUUAGAUGUAAUCGAUGCUAUUUAUUACUAGGACCAUGAAUUGUGCUAUUAAUGUCUUGCUUUUCUCUUCCGAUCCUUUUGUUGCAUACUUAUUUAUUGCUUAUGUACUGUCUGUUGUUUGGCUUGUGCAUCGAGAUGCCAUCGUAUGUCGUGUACAAUGGUAAGGUUCUCGGAGUCUACGAUGACUGGGAGGAGUGUCGGAGACAGGUUCACCGUUUCAGCGGUAACAGUUACAAAGGGUACACCACUAGGGCGGAGGCGGAAUCUAGAUACGCCCGCUAUCUAGCGGGAGAGAGGAGGGAGCGUUGGAGGAACUGGAUGAAGACCAGUUUCAUCGCGAUGAUGCUCAUCGUGAUGACCGCAACUCUCUUCUAUGUGAUGGUAGUUUAGAUGAUCGAUAUCGACUUGUAAUGUGAAGACAAACUCGCUACUCGCGGUCUCGAGACUUGUAAUGUUCUAUCUUUGUUCGGUCUUGUGAAUUCGGAGACUAAUAUGAUGAAUUGUAUUCGGAGAGCUAUCUUCUAUUGUAUUGGAUGAAUGUGCUGUUGCUGUGUGGUGUUGUCUAUAUUCUCUCCAAUAAUAUAUUUUGUAACCUGUGAAAAUAUCAGAAAUGUGCAUUUUUUCGACCACCUCCAAAUCACCUCAGUUUUGGAACACAUGAUCUCUUCCACAAACAAAACUAGGUUUCCAAGUUUUUGUAUUUUUUUAGUUUUUUUUGAAUUUAUAAUGCCCUCUAGACUGACUGCUGAAAACAUCGGUCUAUGCCUCAAGGGGGCAUUGUAAAAUAUUUUUUUUUAAAUUUUCUUGCAUACACAUGUUUUGCACAUGUGGGUCACCAUGUACAAGAAAAUUUGGGUGAUUUGGAGGUGGUGGAAAAAUUCACAUUUUUUCAAAAACUGGCUUAAGUUAGACCAAAUGGUCCCUCCGGGAAUGCGGGCAUUUUUUCGACCACCUCCAAAUCACCUCAGUUUUGGCACACANNNNNNNNNNNNNNNNNNNNNNNNNNNNNNNNNNNNNNNNNNNNNNNNNNNNNNNNNNNNNNNNNNNNNNNNNNNNNNNNNNNNNNNNNNNNNNNNNNNNNNNNNNNNNNNNNNNNNNNNNNNNNNNNNNNNNNNNNNNNNNNNNNNNNNNNNNNNNNNNNNNNNNNNNNNNNNNNNNNNNNNNNNNNNNNNNNNNNNNNNNNNNNNNNNNNNNNNNNNNNNNNNNNNNNNNNNNNNNNNNNNNNNNNNNNNNNNNNNNNNNNNNNNNNNNNNNNNNNNNNNNNNNNNNNNNNNNNNNNNNNNNNNNNNNNNNNNNNNNNNNNNNNNNNNNNNNNNNNNNNNNNNNNNNNNNNNNNNNNNNNNNNNNNNNNNNNNNNNNNNNNNNNNNNNNNNNNNNNNNNNNNNNNNNNNNNNNNNNNNNNNNNNNNNNNNNNNNNNNNNNNNNNNNNNNNNNNNNNNNNNNNCUAGACUGACUACUGAAAACAUCGGUCUAUGCCUCAAGGGGGCAUUGUAAAAUAAUUUUUUUCAAAAUUUUCUUGCAUACACAUGUUUUGCACAUGUGGGUCACCAUGUACAAGAAAAUUUUGGUGAUUUGGAGGUGGUGGAAAAAUUCACGUUUUUUCAAAAACUGGCUUAAGUUAAAGACCAAAUGGUCCCUCCAGGAAUGCGGGCAUUUUUUCGACCACCUCCAAGUCACCUCAGUUUUGGCACACAUGAUCUCUUCCAUAAACAAAUCUAGGUUUCCAAGUUUUUGUAUUUUUUUAAAUUUAUAAUGCCCUCUAGACUGACUGCUGAAAACAUCGGUCUAUGCCUCAAGGGGACCUGCAUGCAAGAGUUGGGGACCUGCAUGCAAGACUCGGGGACCUGCAUGCAAGACUCGGGGACCUGCAUGCAAGAGUCGGGGACCUGCAUGUGAAUAGUGAUUCAUCAAGGCCUUGACAGCUACUGGCACAGCGGCUGCCGCCCGAUUUGCAUGCAGCGAAGAUGAACGUGCAUGGAGGUUUUUCAAAGAUUUCCAAGCACACCCAGUGGGCCCCGCUUAUUUAAAAAAUACGUCAGUCAUUAUUGUUCUGUAAAUGAAGAAUAUGCAUGAUGAUUAUGAAUAUGCAUGAUGAUUAUGAAUAUGGAUGAUGAUUAUGAAUAUGCAUGACAACUAUAGUAAGGGUGAAGAAUCAUAGUGCCCAAUUUGUCGAAAUACAUCAUCAUUCUUAAAGUUGGACAUCAAAUGAUACACACAGAAAAUGGAAACCAAAGAUGUCGAACUAAUACAGUAACAUGCCAGUUCAACCGCACUUCACUAAAUUACUGUCACGAUAAAAUAGAAUGUAAAGACCACGUCACACAAACAUGAAUGACACACGACUUUCUCUGGCUCAUCGUCGGUUCAUGCUGUAUGUAGAUAUCACAGUUCAGCCUCGAUAUCCUACACAGAAGAAUAGAAUAAAUCACAUGGACAUCAAUUAUGAGUAAAACACAUGCAAAAAAAAUAUGAACAUAUUUCGUACCUCUAGCAAUUUAGCGCAUUUACGUCGAUUGUGACCUGGUUUCUUGCAAUAGCCACAGAUAUUCUGUGAUCUUGACUUCUUUGUCUUUGCCUGCAGCCUUUUCUUCGGUGCACCUCGUCCUGGCACAUGCACGGGAUCUAGAACCUUAUCAACUUUCUGCGAGUGCGGCAUCAACGGGCCAAACCUAAUGCUGUUAUGCUGAGCAUUAGUUGACUCCUUAUUGUCAGCUUGUUCAAAACUUGAUUGCUUGCCAUGAUGUUGUGCUUGCAAAAGCAUCUUUAGACGGUGAUAGUCCUCAUCAGAGUGGCAUGCCUGGAAACUUGCGGCGUGACUACAAUUCUGCAACUCGCGGUACCUCUGCAGGCUUAGCGAAUAGUCAUACAUCUGGUUUUUCUGAUAGGUGCGUAUGCACAUUUUGCAUUCAUAGUCCACCUAGUGGGAACGCAACAACCGGGCAGAAUUGUUUGUUUUAAAAUCCCCAAUAUGUAAAAAAUGUGGGAACAUGGUGUGCCUGCGCAUUCCAGCUUACGGUAAGAACAACUCACCCUGUGCAAAAGACCUCCUUGCUCUUCAAUGCGCACUCCAAACUUUAUAUCCAUUCUUUCCUCCUUGGACACAACAUAAGUGGAAUCUUCUGAUCCAUCUAGUAUCUCUCUAAUCUGACAUUUGCUGACAGCAUCUAUGCUCCAUAAGACCAUCUUAAAGACACUAGGUGUGAAAACUGUUGUGGCGUGUUUCUCAAGCGGCGAAGCAUUUUCCUCUGUAAAUGGAACGGACUGCAAGGCUUCGACGUCAUGGAGAGCUUCGUUAAUCCGUCGUGACGCAAGGCAACGCUCAUAGUGCUCUAGCAUUUCAAACAACGACAUCUUACCCUCAAGAUGCGUAUGUAGCAUAGAGUUCAAGCUCUCACUCCUCUGAUUGCUGCUCAGUCCUAGGAAACAACGCCCCUCAAGAUAUGGAGCACACCACAACUUUCUCAUCUGAUACAUCUGAUGCAGCCAAGACUCCUCACUGGUUACUUUAUUCCGUUGUAAGAAUUGUAUCCAUUUUAUCUCAUGCUCUUCAAUGGAAGAAGUAUCAUAAAUGAAAGAUCUGAAUUCCUCCUUUACGUCGUCAUCAUGCAGAUGGCGUACAAUGUUCUGCUGAAUGUGCCAUAUACAUAGUCUAUGAUUUGAGUCUGGCCAAACCACCCUUAUUGCUCUCUGCAUUGCAAGGUCCCCAUCUGUGAUCACAGAUAUCGGAUGCUUCUGUGCCAUGCAAUCAGAAAAGGUCCGCAACAUCCACUCGUAUGCCUGGCUUGUUUCAUGAGAAAUUAAUUAUACCACAGCCAAAUAUAACAAUGUUGCGGUGGUGAUUCAACCCGACAAAAGGCACGAAUGGCAGAUUGUAUUUGUUGGUUCUGUAUCGCUAUCGAAAACAAUGACGUCUCCGAAAGCCUCGUAGUCAAGUCACGAUUGACUGUCAGCCCAGAACAGUCCCUUCAAAUGGCCAUGCUCGUCUACCAAGUACUUGAAGAAAAAAUCCACAUCUCGCUCUCGCCUCGCCAUCAUGUGCAUGAUCACCGUUUUAGCAUCACCGGCACUGAUUGUCUCUUGCUUAUUAGCAUGGCAGAAAUUAUAAACGUCCCUCUUUAUGCAUCCAACCUUAUCAAAUCCACCGUAUUGGAAGCACAAAAUAUCCAUAAUACGGUAUUUGCGGAUCCCACAUUUUUCCAUGUCCGCAAUGUCCGCUUUCUGCUCAUCGCUAAUUCGUCUGUGCGAACGCAACAGACAAGAAAGAUCCCGUGGGGCUAGAGGAUGGCUGUGCUCAUCGAUGAAAUCCUUGACAAACCACCGACCGGUUUCCUCCUGUCUCGUAAUGACCAAUUUAGCAUUACACCCAACACGAGUUAAACUUCGUGGCCUCCUCUUUCUAUCUUCCAUCUUUCUUUUCAUGUGCUUAUCUUCGCGAAACCCUUGACGACUACACACAAUUUUCUUUAAAAUUAUGUAUUUGUUGGAUCCAUCCCACUCAACGUAGCUUUUCCUCACACUAAAACCUUUUUCAAGAGCAUAUUUGUUGUAGAAUUCAUAGCCUUCAGCCUCACUAUCAAACAUCUUGCUGACAACAUUUACAUACUCGAACAUACUCUCAUCACUUGCAUACGCCAUGUCUUCCUGCAUAUGACAUGUGAGGGAAACCAAUCAUCAACAUCUUUCUGUUUAUCAAUGUUGCAGGUGUAAAAUAGCUCAUAGGCAAAGACAAGUGCAUGGAAAAGACUUUGCUGGUUUGACAUGUGAGGGAAACCAAUCAUCAACGUCCAACAAGUACUAUCCUAGCAUGGAUGAUGACUCUAAUAAACUGGAUUCAUACCUGGUACGCGCGAAGAGAUGGGAUCGCCUGCCGCCGUCGCCGCCUAUUCAGCCGGCGCAGAUCCGGCCUUCUUCUUCUUUGGUGACAGCGUGGGGGGCUGGGGUUGGUUGGGUGGAGGACGAGGACGAUGAAUUUAUUCCUCUCACCAGGCAGGUCGAGGACGGAGAAGGUCAGGAGCGGCGACGAAUAGAUCGGAGGAGGUUUCUGAUCUGGAUCGAGUAUACAUGGAUCUGGUCUUCGGGUGAUCGGUUCAAGAAAAGAUUUUUGCCCCUGGACCAUUAUGCCCUUAUCGCUUAAAUUUAAUCAAGUUUAAUUCCCCGCAAGAUCGGACGGCUAAUAAUAAUCAGACGUCAUCAGACAUGUAAGUACUGCUAAGUACUCCGAGUACUAACCUAAUCACCGUAAAACUGCUCCCAAAUAGGAUGACCGCUUUAGAGAAAGCAAUAAGGGAAUUCAUGGACAAUCAAACUGAGAAUGUAAUUGUAUUUGUACCGAUGAUGGGAACGAGUUCACAGAUUCUCUGACUUAGCCGAGACUAUGGCAGAGGGAUGUCAAAAACAUAUAACUGUUCAUGCACCAUCCGACGGCAGCAAGCAAAGCCCAUGGACACACAGCAUUAUCGACCUAGAAGGGUGAUGCUGCCCAGUCCAACGCAUAGGCGAAGCAGGAAAAACGGUGCAAGGCAGCCGAAGUAUGAAUGAAGGAACCGAUCACCAAGCUGCCGAAGGAUGAGCUGCUCUGCUCUUGUGAGAGAUGUUAAAUUUUGUAGUGUUCAUUUUACCAUUCUGUAAUGUGCACUUAUGUUGCUGCUCAAUUCAGUUCCCUUCUCCCACUUGCAUUUCACAGUCAUGUCCAGUUCAGUGAGCAAAGUCUCUAAAAUUCAGCUCAUUCAAUUAUAGCAUUCAUUCACAACAACCACACUGAAUGAUCUCAACCCCUUCUGCCACUGAGUGAUCUCAACCCCUUUUGCCAUACUCAAUUCUGUUAUCAAUUUUACAACAUCAAGUGAUAUGCUCACAAAUUGACAAUGUCAAUGACCUGCUCUUAAUUUACAACAUCAUUGAUAUGCUCAAAAAAUGAUAAUGUCAAUGAUCUGCUCUCAAAGUACUCCCUCUGUCCCAUAAUAUAAGAGCGUUUUUGACACUACACUAGUGUCAAAAACACUCUUAUAUUAUGGGACAGAGGGAGUAGUUUAUAGUCUGAAACUCUCUUGUUGUUUUGGGUAAAUCAGUUUACAAUCUGAAACUCAACUGUUGUUUGCUUGUAAAUCAGUUAAUAAUGUGCUCUCAAUUUCCAGGCUAGCUUCGCCGGCGCCUGCUCGACGGAGUGGUGCAUCCAUGGCAGCCACGGCCGUCCUCCUCUUGCGAUGGUGCGGGGUCAGCGAUAUGGUGCUUGCUUAGUGCCUCCAGCAACAGCGGCGCGACCUCGCGGCGUGAUACAACCAUGACUUGUAGCCAAGGCAGCGGCAGUCGUCCUCCCGGGGCGAUCGCGAGCAAUGGCGACGGUGAGCGAUGGGUUGUUUAUGGGCUGCACAGCAUUGUUGUUAUUCUUAUUUGUUUUCACCUUGCAGCUGUCGAAUGACGCAUGUGAUUUGGAUUAGACGUCCGUCUAGCGUAAAUGUUUCAAUCAGAAGAUUUUGUUGAGUUUGGCCCCGAUGGUGAGUUGAGAACCAUUGGGUGAAGAUGUGUGUGACACGUCAUCAUUUACAAGGAGGGCUAAAUGUAUGGUAAGUAGGCAAUCAGGUGGCGGCACGUCUGCGAUCUCCAUUUUCUGGUACGUGUACAGACUUGUUAGUUAUGUUGUGUCCAGGAGAAGAAACUAAUCACAUACUAACAUGUUUAGGAAGAGCUGAUGUACGUACAUGUUUGAAAUGCUGGGCUAUGAAUUCAUGGAGAGGAUUAUGCACAAUAGUUUUUCUAGAUUUGUGAGAUGUGGACGUGUGAUUAUGGACAAGUUCAGCUCGCUGGUGUGGGCGUGAUUGGAUGCAACAGUGUGGUGAUGCUGCAGCUCAAUUACGUCUUUAGCUGAACUUUUGUUGCUUGUGAACGAUCUGAAUUUCUAAAAACAUACAACUCUUGAAUAAGAUUACUUGUUGCUGCAAGAGUUUAAUGCGUUCUGCAUAGGCAGGAGAUUUGUUUAGCUCCAUCCCCAUGUCUUAUGGACAUGUUUAGCUCCAUCCCCAUGUCUGCUGAUUUGUGAAGGAGAUUUGUUUCAAUUCUAAUUUUAAAAUACAUAGGCAGGAGCCGACGGACAUGACUGCAAGUAGUCAGUCCGUUAGUACAGAAUCUGGAUAGAGAAGGCUCAUAUCGUCAUGCACAUCCGAGCCGGUCAACACGGCGUGGACGGCGUCACAUUUAUUAUCUGACAGAAGUGGGCAGGGGAACAGAAAACUGGUGGAAUACAAAAAUAAUACUCGAUGCUAUACAGCCCAGGUCGGGAAUCUCGAAGUGAGUUCAUGAUGGAGAUAGCGAGAGUAUCUGAGCUCGUGCUCAGAACAUCACUUUCCUGAGGAAAGGGGGAACCAGGAUCGAUUCCUGGUCUCAAAGGUGACAGCGGGUGCUGCUACCAGUCCGAUCAAGUUCCGUUCGUGAUAAGUUGUAGGUGCGCGUCGUACUUGAGCCGAUUCAAGCCGGUUUUCUUUGAGUUUUUUUCCUUCUUCAUUUUUUUCAUUCUUUUUUGCACUCGUUUCUUCAUUUUUUUUCAUUUUUUUCUUUUGUUUAUUUUCUUUGUUCUUUUGGUUAUUAUUGUGCAUUUUUUGUAUACGUCAACAAUAUUUUUUUAAUACACGUCUAACAUUUUUCAAAUACAAAUCAACAAUUUUUGCAAUACAUGGCCUACAUUUUUCUAUACACAUUUUUUAAAUGCUUGAUUAUCAUUUUUCAAAUACAAUAUUAACAAUUUUAAUACAUGGUUAACAUUUUUUUUCCAUUUUUACAAAAAAAUAUAUUAAAUGCUUGAUUAACAUUUUCUUAAUAGAUGGUCAACCUUUUUUUCAUACACAUUUAACAUUUUUUCCAAACGCUUGAUUAACUUUUUCAGACCCUUGUUCGACAUUUCUUUCAAAUGCUGGAUUACAUUUCUAUAUACUUAAUCAAAUAUUUCUAUCAUUUUUAAUACNNNNNNNNNNNNNNNNNNNNNNNNNNNNNNNNNNNNNNNNNNNNNNNNNNNNNNNNNNNNNNNNNNNNNNNNNNNNNNNNNNNNNNNNNNNNNNNNNNNNUGGUAACACCAACCGGUACUAAAUGUUUGGGGGGGUUUUGGUUUUAUUUUUUAUUUUUCCUUUAAUUUUGUGUUUUCCAUUUAAUUAUUUUUCAUUUGCUGGUAUUUUACGAUACUACAUAUUGUACACGUUAUGCAUAUAUAUAUAUAUAUAUAUAUAUAUAUAUAUAUAUAGAAUUUCUCGUAGAACCGAUCAUAUAUAUAUAUAUACACAUAUCAUCGAAUGUCUCGCACCACCAUAUUCACACAUACACAUGCAUGUACGUAUAUAUAUAUAUACAAUUUGGUAUAUAUAAUUUCUCCUACAUGGAGGCAUUAGUGCGGUAGCGGAUAAUGGAAUUCUUCUCUAGGAUCUAUGACUUGGUCGAGCAAAAAUCCCGCUAUUUCCUCUGCAAUUGCUCGUACGCAAUCCAUUGGUAGGAGCUUCUACCGCACCUCAUUGAACUGUUAAGAAGGAGAUCAAUAUGCAUGUAUUAUUUGUGUGACUAGAUAUCGAUAAUGAUGUAAAAAUUGUGUAUAGUGUGUUCUACCAAACGUACCCAUAUCUGUCUAUCAGAUGUGCUCCUUUCGGACGUCAUCAUGCGAAUGUUCUCGCAAACGUAGUAUGCACAUAAAUCAUUCCCCGGCUCCUGCUUCAUGGCCUGUACGAGAAUAGAGUUCAAUCAGAUAAUAAUUAAUCAAGCCUCAUAAUUAAUGUUAUUGAAACUAUAGAAUUAAAGAGAUUGCAUGAUAGCUAGCUAGCUAGCUAUAGUACUACUUAAUUAAUUACCGUGGGUCGAUACCAAUACAGUUUAUCUUUGAACAGGCCUGGAACGUCUUCGAUGAACUUUUGCCAAGCCCUGCCGGCCCGCCGGCAAAGAAAAUGAAUAAAGGAGUUAUUAAUUAGUUGAUAUCAGGACAUAUAUAUAAUGAGAUUGAAAUUACCUCUUGACUAUCCCCUUCACGAUUGAGUACUCUUUAGGUUCUUUAAGCAGUGAGUCCAGUACUUCAACUUUUCCUUCUUUAACUUUAAUGUCUACCAAGAUCCAGUGGAACCUGCAUGCGCACUUUAAUUUCUACCAAGAUCCAAUGGUAUCUAGCUAGUAACAAAAACAGAAUAUGUAGUACAAGACAGUGUGGACUCACUGGAAGUUGUAAGGAAGUAGUAUAUCUGCAUUGGUAUUGAGGCGCUUCAAGAACUCUAGCACGUUAUUCUCUACUUCUUGUUUAUAAUGUUCAUAUGACCAUGUCUCUUCAUUAAUGGUAUUUGGGUCAAUGAACCCAAUGCCAUGGCGUCCAGCUUUUCUCAUUUCGGACAUCUUCAUCCUGCAUAAUACCACAGAAAAGAAUAUAGUGAGGAUAAUUACAGGUAAUGAUCAACGAGAGCACUACAGCUAGCUUGAGACUUAAAUUACAGAAAGAAAUCACUUACAGACAAUAGUAACUGACGAUAGAUUUGUCGAGUGCAUCAUAAUUGAAUAACUGAAACAGUUCUGUAUACUCAAUAGACAGAGCUAGCUUAUGGAAGUAAUCCUCUUCCUUGACUUUCACCAUGAGGGACUGUAGAUUGUGGGUCUUGCAAAUUUCCAUGUACNNNNNNNNNNAGAACCGAUCAUAUAUAUAUAUAUAUAUAUACACAUAUCAUCGAAUGUCUCGCACCACCAUAUUCACACAUACACAUGCAUGUACGUAUAUAUAUAUAUAUAUACAAUUUGGUAUAUAUAAUUUCUCCUACAUGGAGGCAUUAGUGCGGGAGCGGAUAAUGGAAUUCUUCUCUAGGAUCUAUGACUUGGUCGAGCAAAAAUCCCGCUAUUUCCUCUGCAAUUGCUCGUACGCGAUCCAUUGGUAGGAGCUUCUGCCGCACCUCAUUGAACUGUUAAGAAGGAGAUCAAUAUGCAUGUAUUAGUUGUGUGACUAGAUAUCGAUAAUGAUGUAAAAAUUGUGUAUAGUGUGUUCUGCCAAACGUACCCAUAUCUGUCUAUCAGAUGUGCUCCUUUCGGACGUCAUCAUGCGAAUGUUCUCGCAAACGUAGUAUGCACAUAAAUCAUUCCCCGGCUCCUGCUUCAUGGCCUGUACGAGAAUAGAGUUCAAUCAGAUAAUAAUUAAUCAAGCCUCAUAAUUAAUGUUAUUGAAACUAUAGAAUUAAAGAGAUUGCAUGAUAGCUAGCUAGCUAGCUAUAGUACUACUUAAUUAAUUACCGUGGGUCGAUACCAAUACAGUUUAUCUUUGAACAGGCCUGGAACGUCUUCGAUGAACUUUUGCCAAGCCCUGCCGGCCCGCCGGCAAAGAAAAUGAAUAAAGGAGUUAUUAAUUAGUUGAUAUCAGGACAUAUAUAUAAUGAGAUUGAAAUUACCUCUUGACUAUCCCCUUCACGAUUGAGUACUCUUUAGGUUCUUUAAGCAGUGAGUCCAGUACUUCAACUUUUCCUUCUUUAACUUUAAUGUCUACCAAGAUCCAGUGGAACCUGCAUGCGCACUUUAAUUUCUACCAAGAUCCAAUGGUAUCUAGCUAGUAACAAAAACAGAAUAUGUAGUACAAGACAGUGUGGACUCACUGGAAGUUGUAAGGAAGUAGUAUAUCUGCAUUGGUAUUGAGGCGCUUCAAGAACUCUAGCACGUUAUUCUCUACUUCUUGUUUAUAAUGUUCAUAUGACCAUGUCUCUUCAUUAAUGGUAUUUGGGUCAAUGAACCCAAUGCCAUGGCGUCCAGCUUUUCUCAUUUCGGACAUCUUCAUCCUGCAUAAUACCACAGAAAAGAAUAUAGUGAGGAUAAUUACAGGUAAUGAUCAACGAGAGCACUACAGCUAGCUUGAGACUUAAAUUACAGAAAGAAAUCACUUACAGACAAUAGUAACUGACGAUAGAUUUGUCGAGUGCAUCAUAAUUGAAUAACUGAAACAGUUCUGUAUACUCAAUAGACAGAGCUAGCUUAUGGAAGUAAUCCUCUUCCUUGACUUUCACCAUGAGGGACUGUAGAUUGUGGGUCUUGCAAAUUUCCAUGUACUAUUGAUGCAAUUCAUACAUUCUCGUUGGGAGGUUCUUGACCUCCUCGGGCUUGACCCAAGGUUCGCCGCGAACAUAUUUCCGUUUUAUUUCCUCCUCUCUAAGCGGAGACAUGGGCUCGAUCUCGAGGAAUUGUCCAACAGUCAUACCGAGCAUUUCAGCCUGCAUUAUAUGCUCCUCGGUUAUUACCAGAUAUCCCAGCUGGGGAACGUUAACGGUUUGCCCACAUAUAUAUAGGGCGCCGGUACUCUUAUGUGUUGUUGGCACAACAAGCGGGGGAUCGAUUGCGUCGCGUGUUCUCCCAGCUGGGAAAGGUUUUCCCGCAUUUUUUGCCAGCUGCUUGGCUCGAGCUCGACUCCUUCUGUACUCGUGCUCGAUGUGCCUUCCUGAUUUGGCGCUCAUAGUCUGAGUCAACAGGCUUGGGAGUUGGUGGUCUAGCCAUACGAAUAAAGUGGUCAAUCGUUUCCUCAGGCACUUUCUGUUGGAAAUAUGCCCUAGAGGCAAUAAUAAAAGGUUAUUAUUAUAUUUCUUUGUUCAUGAUAAUCGUCUAUUAUUCAUGCUAUAAUUGUAUUGUCCGAAAACCGUAAUACAUGUGUGAAUAUAUAGACCACAACGUGUCCCUAGUAAGCCUCUAGUUGACUAGCUCGUUGAUCAACAGAUAGUCAUGGUUUCCUGACUAUGGACAUUGGAUGUCAUUGAUAACGGGAUCACAUCAUUGGGAGAAUGAUGUGAUGGACAGGACCCAAUCCUAAGCAUAGCAUAAAAGAUCGUGUAGUUUCGUUUGCUAGAGCUUUUCCAAUGUCAAGUAUCUUUUCCUUAGACCAUGAGAUCGUGCAACUCCCGGAUACCAUAGGAGUGCUUUGGGUGUGCCAAACGUCACAACGUAACUGGGUGACUAUAAAGGUGCACUACGGGUAUCUCCGAAAGUGUUUGUUGGGUUGGCACGGAUCGAGACUGGGAUUUGUCACUCCGUGUGACGGAGAGGUAUCUCUGGGCCCACUCGGUAAUGCAUCAUCAUAAUGAGCUCAAUGUGACUAAGGCGUUACUCACGGGAUCAUGCAUUGCGGUACGAGUAGAGAGACUUGCCGGUAACGAGAUUGAACAAGGUAUUGGGAUACCGACGAUCGAAUCUCGGGCAAGUAACAUACCGAUUGACAAAGGGAAUUGCAUACGGAUUGAUUGAAUCCUCGACACCGUGGUUCAUCCGAUGAGAUCAUCGUGGAACAUCUGGGAUCCAACAUGGGUAUCCAGAGCCCGCUGUUGGUUAUUGACCGGAGAGGCGUCUCGGUCAUGUCUGCAUGUCUCCCGAACCCGUAGGGUCUACACACUUAAGGUCCGGUGACGCUAGGGUUGUAGAGAUAUAUGUAUGCGGAAACCCGAAAGUUGUUCGGAGUCCCGGAUGAGAUCCCGGACAUCACGAGAGGUUCCGGAAUGGUCCGGAGGUGAAGAAUUAUAUAUAGGAAGUCAAGUUUCGGCCACCGGGAAAGUUUCGGGGGUUACCGGUAUUGUACCGGGACCACCGGAAGGGUCCCGGGGGUCCACCGGGUGGGGCCACCUAUCCCGGAGGGCCCCGUGGGCUGAAAGUGGAAGGGAACCAGCCCUUAGUGGGCUGGGGCGCCCCCCUUGNNNNNNNNNNUGGUGGUCUAGCCAUACGAAUAAAGUGGUCAAUCGUUUCCUCAGGCACUUUCUGUUGGAAAUAUGCCCUAGAGGCAAUAAUAAAAGGUUAUUAUUAUAUUUCUUUGUUCAUGAUAAUCGUCUAUUAUUCAUGCUAUAAUUGUAUUGUCCGAAAACCGUAAUACAUGUGUGAAUAUAUAGACCACAACGUGUCCCUAGUAAGCCUCUAGUUGACUAGCUCGUUGAUCAACAGAUAGUCAUGGUUUCCUGACUAUGGACAUUGGAUGUCAUUGAUAACGGGAUCACAUCAUUGGGAGAAUGAUGUGAUGGACAGGACCCAAUCCUAAGCAUAGCAUAAAAGAUCGUGUAGUUUCGUUUGCUAGAGCUUUUCCAAUGUCAAGUAUCUUUUCCUUAGACCAUGAGAUCGUGCAACUCCCGGAUACCAUAGGAGUGCUUUGGGUGUGCCAAACGUCACAACGUAACUGGGUGACUAUAAAGGUGCACUACGGGUAUCUCCGAAAGUGUCUGUUGGGUUGGCACGGAUCGAGACUGGGAUUUGUCACUCCGUGUGACGGAGAGGUAUCUCUGGGCCCACUCGGUAAUGCAUCAUCAUAAUGAGCUCAAUGUGACUAAGGCGUUACUCACGGGAUCAUGCAUUGCGGUACGAGUAAAGAGACUUGCCGGUAACGAGAUUGAACAAGGUAUUGGGAUACCGACGAUCGAAUCUCGGGCAAGUAACAUACCGAUUGACAAAGGGAAUUGCAUACGGAUUGAUUGAAUCCUCGACACCGUGGUUCAUCCGAUGAGAUCAUCGUGGAACAUCUGGGAUCCAACAUGGGUAUCCAGAUCCCGCUGUUGGUUAUUGACCGGAGAGGCGUCUCGGUCAUGUCUGCAUGUCUCCCGAACCCGUAGGGUCUACACACUUAAGGUCCGGUGACGCUAGGGUUGUAGAGAUAUAUGUAUGCGGAAACCCGAAAGUUGUUCGGAGUCCCGGAUGAGAUCCCGGACAUCACGAGAGGUUCCGGAAUGGUCCGGAGGUGAAGAAUUAUAUAUAGGAAGUCAAGUUUCGGCCACCAGGAAAGUUUCGGGGGUUACCGGUAUUGUACCGGGACCACCGGAAGGGUCCCGGGGGUCCAUCGGGUGGGGCCACCUAUCCCGGAGGGCCCCGUGGGCUGAAAGUGGAAGGGAACCAGCCCUUAGUGGGCUGGGGCGCCCCCCUUUGGGCCUCCCCCAUGCGCCUAGGGUUGGGAACCCUAGGGGGGAGCUUCCCCCUUGCCUUGGGGGGCAAGGCAACCCCUUCCCCCCUUGGCCGCCGCCGCCCCCCCCUUGGAGAUCCCAUCUCCCAAGGCUGGCACACCCCCCAAGGGCCUAUAUAAAGGGGGGAGGGAGGGCAGAACCUACAGCCUUGGGCGCCUCCCUCCUCCCCUGCAACACCUCUCUCUCUCUCGCAGAAGCUCGGCGAAGCCCUGCCGGAGACCCGCUACAUCCACCACCACGCCGUCGUGCUGCUGGAUCUCCAUCAACCUCUCCUUUCCCCUUGCUGGAUCAAGAAGGAGGAGACUUCGCUGCACCGUACGUGUGUUGAACGCGGAGGUGCCGUCCGUUCGGCACUCGGUCAUCGGUGAUUUGGAUCACGGCGAGUACGACUCCGUCAUGCACGUUCAUUGGAACGCUUCCGCUCGCGAUCUACAAGGGUAUGUAGAUGCACUCCCUUCCCCUCAUUGCUAGUAGACUCCAUAGAUGCAUCUUGGUGAGCGUAGGAAAAUUUUAAAUUAUGCUACGAUUCCCAAGACUUUCUCCCUUGGCGGCGGUGCCGGUUUCGGUCCAAAAUGGGCGUCCACUUGGGCCUUCACUAUGGCUCUGUUUUGCUCCUCGGUCAUGUCGUAAGGCCUCUAAGGAAGAGAAGCAAGGCUUGGACCAUAUUUAUUUUGCUUGCCUCUGCCUGUACCUCCUGUACUACCUCAACUCAUAGCGCUACGCACCAUAGCUGCGGCGGCUCUCAUCCCCGAUUGCUGAGGCGGCGGAGACGGCUGACGUGGCUGAGUUGGAGCAGGAGGAGUGGCCUGACGCUGUACCGGACUUGAAGCAGGAGGAGUGGCCUCAUGCAGUGUCGGACUUGAAGCAGGAGGAGUGGCCUCACGCUGUGCCGGACUUGAAGCAGGAGGAGUGGCCUGCUGCUGUGCCAGACAUGGAGGAGGAGGAGUGGCCUCACAUCGAGGAGGAGUCGGAUGACGACGCGGUGUCGGUGGCCUUCGAAAGAUGAUGCAAUCCUUUCUCCAUAGGAUGAUACGAUGUAUGGCCUCUCCCAGUGUGUGCUCCUCGUGCUGUCCAGGAAUGUCAAGCUCUAGCCCCGAAUAUUGGUCCACCACCUCAUCAACCAUGACACAAGCAUAGCCAGCUGUAAUCGGGUCGCAAUGGAAGGUUGCUUCGGGGGGAUUUGUAUAAGCAACGACGUCUGCCACCUUCAUGGAUAUGUUCUUCAUUUUGAAGUGUAGCUCACAGUUUGUGUUCUCCAUGAUGUCAUCCACAGGGUAUCUAUCCAGCAGUGCGUCCCCCGGGGCGGAACCAACGCUGCUUCUCGGCAUAGAUGGGACGAUGCUAUCCGAUGCUGGAUCAUCCGCUAGCUGCUGCCAUUGUUGAGACCCCCUUUCCUAGCUAAGUGAGUCGAUCUGCUGCUGCUGCUGGAAUUUGAGUGCCAAGUCCGCGUGCGCUGAUUCUAGGCCUUGAAGGCGUUCAUAGUCCUGCUUCCUCUGCUCCUCCUCCAUCUUUCUCUUCUUCUCCUCCUCCAUCUUCCGUCUUGCAUGGGUCCUGUAGUCGAUGUUCCAUUCCGAAAAGCCCUCAUACCAGGGAAUAACGCCCUUGCCUCGUGUUCUUCCCGGGUGUUCAGGAUUUCCCAGGGCGCGCGUAAGCUCCUCGUUCUCUGUGUUGGGCGUGAACACCCCCAUUCGAGCAUCUUCUAUUGCUUGAAGUAACUUCUCUUCGGCUCCUUUUAGACUUGCCUUCUUGGAAAACAGGCCUGUCUUCGGGUCCAACGCCCCCCAUGCGCAUAGAACCAAGUUCUGCACCUGGGGGGCCAGCUCCUAGUAACUGGAGUGACCCCUACAUCCAGCAUCUCUUCCUCAGACUUAUCCCACUUAGGUGUUGCCACUGCGUAGCCACCUGGCCCCAGCCUAUGGAACUGCGUCUUUUUUGCCGCAUUGGCCUUGUUUUUUCUCGACCGUUCCUAAGCUAAUUCGGAUUCCUUGAAUUUCACAAAAGCAUGCCAGUGUUCUCUUUGCUUCUCCAGUGUUCCCUUGAAUUCUGGAGUCUUCUUUUCUCCUUCGAUGUAGUCGGCCCAUACCAUUUUCUUGUGGGUGUUGAAUGCAAUAGCCAUCUUCCUAAGAGCAGCGUCCUUGACUUUCUGCACAUCUGCAUCAGUGUAAUGAUCUGGUAGGGUGAAAUGUUCCAUGAGAGAUUUCCAAAGCGUUUGUUUUGCUCUGUCGUCGACCCAAGUAACAUUUGGACGUUUAUUUUUUUGGCUCUUUCCAUUCUUGAAUGGAGAUCGGGAGUUGGUCCUUGACAAGAACUCCGCACUGACGAACGAACUUGUUCACAAUGUUCUUAGGCAUGAGGGGUUCGCCAUUAGCUUUGAUGGAAUCGAUGUUGUACUUUACACCCUCCUUCAACUUUUUGCCCGGGCCUCGCUUUGUCCUGCGGUCUGUAGAAGCAGAUUUGCUCGAUCCGGAGGGCUGAAAGAAGAAAGAUCGAUUCGUUAAUAUAUAUUCAAAUAAAAAACAUGUGAUGAUCACCAGAUGCCUGCUUAUAUAAAUAUACCUCGCCGGUCUUUGUUAUUUCGAGAUCAACAUUGUCUGUGUCAUCAUAAUCAUAAUCAUAGUUCAUGACUUCAUCCAUUCGGUCGUCGAGAUCGAAUAUCUUAUCAUCACCCUCCCCGGUAUGUUUCAGAUAUUGGGAGCCGUCAUCUGCUUCAUUCAGAUCAUCUGGCCUGCGAGGGCUGCGUAUGAUCACGAACAGGGCAUCUUCUCCCUCUCUGCCGGUAUUGUCUGCCAUAGCUUUUAUUUAACUAAUCCAGAAGAAAUAUAAAACAAUUUAGUAUUCAAAUUACAAUGCAUGGAUGCAAUCAAUAAGGAAAAACUGAAUCAUAGUACAUAAUAUGCAUCGUCUCGAAUAAUAUAUAAUCUCGAAUACAUCAUCUCGAAUAAUAUAUAAUCUCGAAUACAUCGACUCUAAUAAUAUAUAUAAUCUCGAACAUCGUCUCGAAUAUAAUAUAUCGAAUACAUCACUAGCUAGGUAGCUAAUAAAGAUCGAAUACUACAGAAGAAUCUAGGCCACUCGCGGUUCCUAAGGCGCGGGCGGUGCACACCCAAAGAGAAGGAACCAUCACAGGAUCAUAUCUCCGAUCAUCUGCCCAAACAAAUUGGUAAAUGACUGAAAAAGAGCAAAUGAUGUCAGAAAGGGUUGAAAAUUGACGACCUCGCUUUGAAUGCUGCAUACUGAACGCAAAAAAAGUCUGGAGUUCAAAUAAGUUUAAAAAAUGAAGUAAUCGUGUAACAGACGAGUUCUCGUCCGAAACCCUGAUACUCUGGAAGAGAAUGUCCAAUUUGUACACGAAGUGCGUCCAGUUUUUACCGUAACCCUCUCUACUCUUUUGCACAUGCUAUGUGGGUGAAAUUAUGAUACCAUGCCAAGCUUCAACAUUUUUAGAGUUCAUUUUGUAGUGAUUUUCAAUUUCACGGUCAUUUAGCACUCUAAACAAAUCGGUAAAUGACUGAAAAAGAGCAAAUGAUGUCAGAAAGGGUUGAAAAUUGAUGAUGUCGCUUUGAAUGCUGCAUACUGAGCGCAAAAAAAGUCUAGAGUUCAAAUAAGUUUAAANNNNNNNNNNGGGGGGAGGGAGGGCAGAACCUACAGCCUUGGGCGCCUCCCUCCUCCCCUGCAACACCUCUCUCUCUCUCGCAGAAGCUCGGCGAAGCCCUGCCGGAGACCCGCUACAUCCACCACCACGCCGUCGUGCUGCUGGAUCUCCAUCAACCUCUCCUUUCCCCUUGCUGGAUCAAGAAGGAGGAGACUUCGCUGCACCGUACGUGUGUUGAACGCGGAGGUGCCGUCCGUUCGGCACUCGGUCAUCGGUGAUUUGGAUCACGGCGAGUACGACUCCGUCAUGCACGUUCAUUGGAACGCUUCCGCUCGCGAUCUACAAGGGUAUGUAGAUGCACUCCCUUCCCCUCAUUGCUAGUAGACUCCAUAGAUGCAUCUUGGUGAGCGUAGGAAAAUUUUAAAUUAUGCUACGAUUCCCAAGACUUUCUCCCUUGGCGGCGGUGCCGGUUUCGGUCCAAAAUGGGCGUCCACUUGGGCCUUCACUAUGGCUCUGUUUUGCUCCUCGGUCAUGUCGUAAGGCCUCUAAGGAAGAGAAGCAAGGCUUGGACCAUAUUUAUUUUGCUUGCCUCUGCCUGUACCUCCUGUACUACCUCAACUCAUAGCGCUACGCACCAUAGCUGCGGCGGCUCUCAUCCCCGAUUGCUGAGGCGGCGGAGACGGCUGACGUGGCUGAGUUGGAGCAGGAGGAGUGGCCUGACGCUGUACCGGACUUGAAGCAGGAGGAGUGGCCUCAUGCAGUGUCGGACUUGAAGCAGGAGGAGUGGCCUCACGCUGUGCCGGACUUGAAGCAGGAGGAGUGGCCUGCUGCUGUGCCAGACAUGGAGGAGGAGGAGUGGCCUCACAUCGAGGAGGAGUCGGAUGACGACGCGGUGUCGGUGGCCUUCGAAAGAUGAUGCAAUCCUUUCUCCAUAGGAUGAUACGAUGUAUGGCCUCUCCCAGUGUGUGCUCCUCGUGCUGUCCAGGAAUGUCAAGCUCUAGCCCCGAAUAUUGGUCCACCACCUCAUCAACCAUGACACAAGCAUAGCCAGCUGUAAUCGGGUUGCAAUGGAAGGUUGCUUCGGGGGGAUUUGUAUAAGCAACGACGUCUGCCACCUUCAUGGAUAUGUUCUUCAUUUUGAAGUGUAGCUCACAGUUUGUGUUCUCCAUGAUGUCAUCCACAGGGUAUCUAUCCAGCAGUGCGUCCCCCGGGGCGGAACCAACGCUGCUUCUCGGCAUAGAUGGGACGAUGCUAUCCGAUGCUGGAUCAUCCGCUAGCUGCUGCCAUUGUUGAGACCCCCUUUCCUGGCUAAGUGAGUCGAUCUGCUGCUGCUGCUGGAAUUUGAGUGCCAAGUCCGCGUGCGCUGAUUCUAGGCCUUGAAGGCGUUCAUAGUCCUGCUUCCUCUGCUCCUCCUCCAUCUUUCUCUUCUUCUCCUCCUCCAUCUUCCUUCUUGCAUGGGUCCUGUAGUCGAUGUUCCAUUCCGAAAAGCCCUCAUACCAGGGAAUAACGCCCUUGCCUCGUGUUCUUCCCGGGUGUUCAGGAUUUCCCAGGGCGCGCGUAAGCUCCUCGUUCUCUGUGUUGGGCGUGAACACCCCCAUUCGAGCAUCUUCUAUUGCUUGAAGUAACUUCUCUUCGGCUCCUUUUAGACUUGCCUUCUUGGAAAACAGGCCUGUCUUCGGGUCCAACGCCCCCCAUGCGCAUAGAACCAAGUUCUGCACCUGGGGGGCCAGCUCCUAGUAACUGGAGUGACCCCUACAUCCAGCAUCUCUUCCUCAGACUUAUCCCACUUAGGUGUUGCCACUGCGUAGCCACCUGGCCCCAGCCUAUGGAACUGCGUCUUUUUUGCCGCAUUGGCCUUGUUUUUUCUCGACCGUUCAUAAGCUAAUUCGGAUUCCUUGAAUUUCACAAAAGCAUGCCAGUGUUCUCUUUGCUUCUCCAGUGUUCCCUUGAAUUCUGGAGUCUUCUUUUCUCCUUCGAUGUAGUCGGCCCAUACCAUUUUCUUGUGGGUGUUGAAUGCAAUAGCCAUCUUCCUAAGAGCAGCGUCCUUGACUUUCUGCACAUCUGCAUCAGUGAAAUGAUCUGGUAGGGUGAAAUGUUCCAUGAGAGAUUUCCAAAGCGUUUGUUUUGCUCUGUCGUCGACCCAAGUAACAUUUGGACGUUUAUUUUUUUAGCUCUUUCCAUUCUUGAAUGGAGAUCGGGAGUUGGUCCUUGACAAGAACUCCGCACUGACGAACGAACUUGUUCACAAUGUUCUUAGGCAUGAGGGGUUCGCCAUUAGCUUUGAUGGAAUCGAUGUUGUAAUUUACACCCUCCUUCAACUUUUUGCCCGGCCCUCGCUUUGUCCUGCGGUCUGUAGAAGCAGAUUUGCUCGAUCCGGAGGGCUGAAAGAAGAAAGAUCGAUUCGUUAAUAUAUAUUCAAAUAAAAAACAUGUGAUGAUCACCAGAUGCCUGCUUAUAUAAAUAUACCUCGCCGGUCUUUGUUAUUUCGAGAUCAACAUUGUCUGUGUCAUCAUAAUCAUAAUCAUAGUUCAUGACUUCAUCCAUUCGGUCGUCGAGAUCGAAUAUCUUAUCAUCACCCUCCCCGGUAUGUUUCAGAUAUUGGGAGCCGUCAUCUGCUUCAUUCAGAUCAUUUGGCCUGCGAGGGCUGCGUAUGAUCACGAACAGGGCAUCUUCUCCCUCUCUGCCGGUAUUGUCUGCCAUAGCUUUUAUUUAACUAAUCCAGAAGAAAUAUAAAACAAUUUAGUAUUCAAAUUACAAUGCAUGGAUGCAAUCAAUAAGGAAAAACUGAAUCAUAGUACAUAAUAUGCAUCGUCUCGAAUAAUAUAUAAUCUCGAAUACAUCAUCUCGAAUAAUAUAUAAUCUCGAAUACAUCGACUCUAAUAAUAUAUAUAAUCUCGAACAUUGUCUCGAAUAUUAUAUAUCGAAUACAUCACUAGCUAGGUAGCUAAUAAAGAUCGAAUACUACAGAAGAAUCUAGGCCACUCGCGGUUCCUAAGGCGCGGGCGGUGCACACCCAAAGAGAAGGAACCAUCAUAGGAUCAUAUCUCCGAUCAUCUGCCCAAACAAAUUGGUAAAUGACUGAAAAAGAGCAAAUGAUGUCAGAAAGGGUUUAAAAUUGACGACCUCGCUUUGAAUGCUGCAUACUGAACGCAAAAAAAGUCUGGAGUUCAAAUAAGUUUAAAAAAUGAAGUAAUCGUGUAACAGACGAGUUCUCGUCCGAAACCCUGAUACUCUGGAAGAGAAUGUCCAAUUUGUACACGAAGUGCGUCCAGUUUUUACCGUAACCCUCUCUACUCUUUUGCACAUGCUAUGUGGGUGAAAUUAUGAUACCAUGCCAAGCUUCAACAUUUUUAGAGUUCAUUUUGUAGUGAUUUUCAAUUUCACGGUCAUUUAGCACUCUAAACAAAUCGGUAAAUGACUGAAAAAGAGCAAAUGAUGUCAGAAAGGGUUGAAAAUUGAUGAUGUCGCUUUGAAUGCUGCAUACUGAGCGCAAAAAAAGUCUAGAGUUCAAAUAAGUUUAAANNNNNNNNNNACUCUUUUGCACAUGCUAUGUGGGUGAAAUGAUGAUACCAUGCCAAGUUUCAACAUUUUCAGAGUUCAUUUUGUAGUGAUUUUCAACUUCACGGUCAUUUAGCUCUCUAAACAAAUCGGUAAAUGAAUAAAAACAACAAAAUGAUGUCAGAACGUGUUGAAAAUUGAUGACUUCGCUUUGAAUGGUGCAUACGGAACGCAAAAAAAGUCUUGAGUUCAAAUAAGUUUAAAAAAAUGAAGCACCCGUGUAACAGAUGCUAAGUCAGCAGAGAGUGAGGGGCAGCCGGCGGGGGAGGACCGGCGCGGGGGGAUUGAGGGGGAGACCGAGUGAGUGGAGAGAGUGAGGGCUUAAACAUGUAAAAAUAUACAUCAAAAAUACAUUGAUUAUCAAUGAUCUUUUUGUGUACAAUCUGAAUUGUCAAUAUGAGUCCUCAACGGUUUAGAAACCGGUGAAGACUCAUAUUGCGACCACAAAUUCUACACAUGGAGUUCAAUGAAGACCAAGUGCUUGUCAUAGUUUGAGUAGUAACAUAUUUAAGGUGGUAAAAAUCUUGCUAGGGGAGCGAGGUGGGACUAAAAACAGCCUGCCACAACCUCUUUACUACCUGUUCUUGCCACNNNNNNNNNNAACUGGUACUAAAGGGGCUGGCCCGGCCCCAGCCUCUUUAGUACCGGUUCGUGGCAUGAACCGGUACUAAAGGUUCGCCCUGAACCGGUACUAAAGAUCUCCUCCCGCCUAGCCGUUUGAACCGGCACUAAUGGACACAUUAGUGCCGGCUCAAAUGCAAACCGGGACUAAUGUGUCUCACAUUUGACCCUUUUUCUACUAGUGACCUAUUCCCUUCAUGAUAACAUGUUUUCAAAUUCAAGUACUGUCAUUCUACUCUAUCGCAAUGCCAUCUGCUUAAUUUGGACAUCAUGCUUCUGAAUAUCUUAUGCAUUGUUAUUCAUCAUUAUGUACUUCAUCUGUCUACCAUACCAUGUUUUUUUACAUUGAAGUGAUGUUCUAGUGCUCUGUUGCAAUGCCAUCUUAGUUUCCCAAUCAUACACGUGUAUCUUGCCUUAGUUUUUUCUGUACGUAUUCCGCUAGCAUACAGUUUUACAUUCAACUAGUGUUUUUUACUGUGUUGUCCUGUCGUAUCCGUAGCUCUUACACCAUACUCCCUCCGUCCGGAUUACAUGUUGCCGAAAUGGAUAAAAAGGAUGUAUCUAGAACUGAAAUACGCCUAGACCCAUCCAUUUUUUUCCGGAUGGAGGGAAUACAUGUCAAUAUGUCAUGCAUUUCUAUUCUUCAGUACCUAUUCCAUCUCUCUGUUGUAGAUUGUUUUAUAAUUGAAGCACCAUUCUUCUAUACGAGGCAUGCAAGGGGAAGACGACUAUGUUAGAAUCUGAAGGGUUACAAACCAGGUCUUUGCAAAAGAUCCAAACGCCAGGAGAUAAUAAGCCAACUCCAGUUUUUAUAGAUACUGCUCCAGCAUAGAGAAACCCAACUCCAACUGAUAAUAAGCAGAUUCCAGUGGCCAAAGAACUAGUCCGCUCCAGUCCAGCAAAAAUAUGUCAACACCAUUCUAAGAAGCGUGUGCGUAUCCUUGCAUCAUGAAAUUUUAUAGCAUGCUGAUCAUAUUUUUUACAUGUUUCUUACCCAUCUCUCUUUUAGAAAAUAAGCUUAACAGAUAGAAGAAUUUCUGCACUGGAAUCGUCUGUGAGGAAAGAUUCUUGCAGGAAUUCUCUGUGCUCCAAUGCAGAUGUAAGUACCUGUUGUAUAUCACUAUAUUUUUACAUCAGCAUGUAUUUUGUUAAUCGGCGUGAAUCCAACCUUUAUCUGAUCUAAAUUUAGUUGUAGCAAAAUGUAUGAUUAAAGGCCACAAUAUUGAUUUUUGUAAGGAAAACUACCUGGUAGUUUUGCAUCCUCAGCUGCAUGAGUGUACUAUCUCAUAUCAGUGGGUUUGAUUACUUUGGUUCUGAAGUGGGUUUUUAGUGUUUUUUACUGUGUUGUCCUGUCGUAUCCCUACCUCUUACAUCAUACUCCCUCCGUCCGGAUUACAUGUCGCGAAAUGGAUAAAACUGGAUGUAUCUAGAACUGAAAUAUGCCUAGACCCAUCCAUUUAUUUCUGGAUGGGGGGAAUUGUCGGGUGGUUGGUGCGACAUAUGCCAACGGGUGGCUUAUCAUUAUGGGUGCCAAUAAGACAUCGCCGGUGCCUGGAAACGGGAUGAGGCGAAGACAUGCACGCCGGCGGAUCUUACCCAGGUUCGGGGCUCUCCGAGGAGAUAACACCCCGAGUCCUGCUCUACGGGGUCUCCGCAUGAUCACUAGAUCAGGAAAGGUAGCUGCAAUCGCUCCUAGAGCUGUUGGGUUCAAGGGAGAAGAAGAACAAGGCUAGCUCUCACUUCUCUCUAUCUAUGGUGUGUGUGCUAUGCUCAGAAGCCAACCCUUUGCAUGGGUGCCCCGGGGGGUUUAUAUAGGCCUACCCCCCGGGGGUACAAUUGUAAUCCGGCUGGGCACUGGUCCCAGCCGUCAGUGUCUAUGCUCGCCGGCUUCUCCGCCGGCUGUUGGGGCCCGCCGACUGGUGGGCCCCGCCGGCUGCCGGCCUCUUGGCCGACAGGCCGGCCCCACCGCCUAGGGUCUUGUCGGCGGCUGCUUACUGUUGCCUCGCCCCUGAUGACGAGGGCUCCGUCGAGGUAAGCGUGGCUACAGUGGGCCGCCUCGGGGGCUCUCACUGUUGCCUUACCUCGUCUUGUCUCCUUAAUGGGGCGCAUGCUUCAAGGAAGGGGGUAGCCGGCUUCUGGGGGGCGGCUAUGCCCUUGGCCGACUGGGGGAGGCCGGGCCGCCUCUGCGCUUCUCUCUGGCCGAGGGGACCCGCCGCCCGUGAGCCGUACGGGAGUCUGUCGUGGAUGACGUUGAGGCUAGCAUGGCUACAGUGCCGAGCCGAACGGGAGACGGCCGUCCCGUACGGCCUCCUGUGGCCAUGCCUGCCUCGGGCUUCGGGGGUAGUGGGCCGCACUAUGGCCACACCCCGUCUUGUCACCGUUAUGUGGGUGCAGCUUUGGUGGUUGUGGUCUCGGCCGGCUUCUUGGAGUCGGCGCUCUUCGAGGCCGGCUUCCUGGAGUCGGCCACCCCGCGGAUAUCCUGGGGGGGGGGGAGGUCGCUGAGGCUGGGCCGCCUUCCGUGAGUCGGCUUCAGAGGUAGCCGGCCAGGGGAGGUGGUCCAAUGCUUGGAGUGCUUGAAGGCCCAAAGGCCUGAUAAUUUUUUAGAAGAACCAGGGGCAGUCGGUUAGGCUACCCGUGGCCAUUUACUCCGACAGUAGUCCCCGAAGCUGGUUGGGCUUCGAGGUUGAGUAGGAGUCGAGAAGCUCGGUCAGCUUCCUAUCUUGUCAAUUCGGCAGCUAGGAGCCGGCUUUGGUUAGGCGCGCCGCCUUGGUCGAAAACUCCGGAGUCGGAGGGCGGGAGCUCGCCAGUGCGUGCACCGGGCCGCGGGCCGCCACUUGCCGUCUGCGAACCACGUGGCCCCUCUUGGCCGGAAAGCCUGCCAGCCCACGCGCGCGACGGGACGUCGCCGCAGGGCGGGGGCCCGCCACGUCCACGCCCGGGCCCAGGCGCGGAUUCUCUGCAUCCCGAAACCGCCCGCACGUCUCCUUGCGGCAGUUUCGGCUCGCCUUUAGGGCGUAAUAAUCGCGAGGCGUGGGGGGAGUGGGUGCAGUUAAUCCCACGUCUCCCCCCACGUCCGGCCUCCCCGGCCUUACCUCGCGAGGCUAUAAGUAGGGGGAGAGGGAGAGCGGCAGGCUCUCGCACGCUCCUCCUUCUUCCACCGUCUUCUUUCUCUCGCCGUUUCUUGCAACAGCGCCUCGCCGCCGCGCUCCUCCACCGCACGUUCCUCCGCCGCCGCGCUCGCUUUCGCCAUGCCUCCCGCCACGGAGCAGUAUGGCGGGGAUUGGGAUGGCUCCAACGUCCACGAAGAUCACAUCGAGUUCCUCCGUAAUACGCGGCGGCUGCCCGGUGCGGACAAGGUGGAGGUCCGUCUUGCGCCGGCGAGGGAAACUACGCCGGAGCCGCGGGAGGGCGAGCGGGUGGUCUUCCGCUCGCAUUUCUUGCACGGCAUCGGCCUGCCAGUGAGCGCCUUCUUCCGCUCCUGGCUCGAUUUCUACCAGCUCCAGCCGCACCACCUCACCCCAAACGCGGUGGUGCUGCUGUCAGCCUUCGUCACCCUGUGCGAAGGCUACCUCAGCUUCCUCCCUACCCUCGAGCUCUGGGGGGAGUUCUUCCAGUCCAAGCUGGGCACGCGCAUGCAGGGCGUGCCGGCUCAGACUGGCGCCUUCAUCGCGUCGCGGAGGUCGGUCGCCGACAACCCCUUCCCCGUCAUCACGUUGAUCCACUCGGUGAAGAAGUGGCAAAAGUCGUACUUCUACGUGCGGAACAUCGCCCCACGGGGCGACUACAUCAACCUGCCGGCUUACGUAGCCGGCCCACCGGCGGGCAGGCGGCCCCAGUGGUCCUUCCGGGCCGUGACUCUGACGCCGGCCGGGUCCGCAGCCGUCGCCCGAGUGCGAGUGCUGACCCAGUCGGAGGGCUUGACGGGGCCCGACCUGCUGGCCGCCUUCGUCACGCGCCGAGUACUUCCGCUCUAGAGCCGUCCUCAUCUGAUCUGUCAGAUGAGCGGCCAGCUCGAUCCGAGCCGGAUGUGCACCAAGGACAUGCCGCGCGAGGAGGUCGCCUAUAUGGUGAACUACCUCGCGAACUGCAAACUCUCCGAAGAGUGGCAGUUCGGCAAGGAGCCAUACAGCCGAGCCAAUCCACCGCCCACGGUAUGUUCUCCUUGUCUCUUCUUUUUCUCUUAACUUUGUUGCCGAGUUCCUCUUGGCCGACUCUAACUUAGUCGGCUUGUUUUUCGACAGAGCCCUCUUCUUCGGCCGGCCGGCGGGUCAGACGCGGAGCGUCGAUUCGUCCCCGACCGGACGGAACACGAUCUGGAAGACCCCGAAUUGGGGGCGGCCGCUCUGGACAACAACAUCGAGCCGGGUGGAGGCCAAGCCGGCGGUGAAGCAGGCGGCUCCGGACUCGGAGUCACCUUCGACGACUGGCCGGACGAUGAUGAGGCCGAAAUGGCCCCGCGCCGCCGGCCGGCAUCCGGACGCGGCGCGGGUUCCUCCGCUGCACCGCCUGCUCGGGGCGGAGGGCAGAAGCGUCGCGCCGCCCAGGGUCUGUUCGGUAGUCGGACGAAGAAGCCCAGGGGCGGGGCGGCAGCAACCAGGCGAGAGGAGGCGGCCGCGAAGGCGGCUCGCUUCCGCAAGACGGAGAAGCACCCGCAGACCGUGUCGGCGUAAGUUUGAAUUCUUUUGUAUACUCUUUUUCUUUCUUUUCUCUGGUGGUUCCUAAACCCUUGUCUUUUUCUCCAAACGACCAGAGCUCCGUUGUCGCUUGAGCGGGCGGCUGCCGCUUCCGUCGUCGAGUCGCCAAGGGGGUCUGGGAGCACCACUCGCCGCGUGGACCCCCGUGCCGACCUUCAAGAAGCGACAGAACGGAACGCGCGGGAGGCGCGGGAGGAACGGGAGGCGCGAGAGGCAGAGGCACGGAGGGCGGCCGCCGCCCAGGCGGCGCGGGAGGAGGAGGCGGCGAAGGCGCUCGCCGACGCCGCAGCCAGGGCCCAAGCGGAGGCUGCAGCUGCAGCGGCGGCGGGGGAGGUCUUGAUGGUCACCCUGCUGUGCGUCGUAGCGCCUGGGAACAUGGAAGAAGGGGCCAGCGGCGACCAGCCAGGACUUGAGAGGGACGACGACGUCAUCGUCCUGGAGAGGGCGCCGGUGCCGACCCCGCCAACUGGGGCGGCUCAAGGCGGCAGGCCUGAUCCGCCGCUUGCGCAGUCGGCGGGGGGCGAGCCGGUCGCGAGGACUGAGAUGGCGGUCCGGAUGCCCCCGAGUCAUCGUGCGGGGAAGGCUGCGUCGGAGCCACAGAAGGCCGCGUCGGAGCCGCAGCCGGCCGUGGGCUCCAGCUCGUCGGCCCAAGAUGCGGAGGCGGCCAGCGCUACCUCGGGGUGGACGCCAGGCGGAGGGACGGCCAUGAUGAAUGUGGUCGCGCAGGACGUCCGGACCUGGCUCCAGGGCCAGGCUAUGGCGCUGAGGCAAUUCACCGAUGAGUUCCUUGCGACGCGGGCGGCCAUCCGGGUUAGUCUUCCCAUCUUGCUUCUUCUUGAUUUUGAUUUCUUCUUGAUCUUGAUUUCUUCCGUGGGGGCACGUCAGCGCACCCACUGGGUGUAGUCCCCGAGUUCCGAGUCGGCUGCUGAGCAGGCGGCUUGGAACUUCUUAGUGGAUUUGUCUUUGCUAUUCUUGUUCUUACUUCGAUCUUCUGUCUAUCUUGCAGGACUACCACAAUCUUCGUGCGGCCGCCUUCAACUCCCAGGCUUGGGAGCUGACCCAGAAGACCGCCGACCUUACUGAGAGCCGAGGUACGUGCUUUGUUCUUUAUCUCAUGUGGGGGCGCGUCAGCGCACCCACUGGGUGUAGUCCCCGAGAUUCGGGCCGACUGCUGAGCAGUCGGGUCGGAUCUUCCUUGACGACUUCCUCUUACUAUUCUUUCUUUUUCUGCCGUCUCUACAGCGGCCAACGCCAGUUUGAGGGCACAGCUGGGGGAGUCUCAGACUGCCCUUCUUGCCAAGGAUGCCGAGCUCGCCGCCUUGGUGCAGGAACGCGACCGCCUGGCCAAGAAGUUGGCCGACCAGGAGGAAGGCCACAAGGCGGCUCUGAAGGCGGUGCAGGACCGCGAAGCCGCCCUCCAGGCCGAGUACGAGACGGAGGCGGCUGGCUGGGCUGAGGCCAGGCAAACUCUGAUCUCUGGCUAUGGUCAGAUCGAAGAUCUGGUUGACGGUAAGCCACCUACCUCUUCGUCCUUUCUUGCCAUCUGCCACUUUUGGCUCGUUUUCUGACUUGGUGCUCUUUUCUUCUUCUCUUCUUCCUUCUUGCGCAGAAUAUUUCCCUGGCUAUUCUACCGCCGCCAAUCAGACCAUCGAGGCCCGCCGCCAGGCGCGGAGGCAGGCUGGCUUCGAGAUUUCGCCAACCGCCGGCCGUUCGUUGGAGGAGCAGCUCUUGGCGAUCCAGGCCCGCAUCCAGCCGGCUCACCGACUGCUUCGCCGGCUUCAGCGUGCCGGGGCGCAAGUCUUGGCCGCCCUCUGGCCCGGCCAAGUGGUUCCUCGCACCCCCAGUCGGACUACCGACUGGCUGGAGGUGGCAGUCGGCCGCUUCGAAGUUUGGAAGGCCUCGGCGGCUCGCUCCGGCGCCAGGCGGGCGCUGGAGUUCGUCAAGGCCUGGUAUCCCGGCCUGAGCCUAGAUCAGCUGGCUACCUGGCGGCAGCAAGCCGACACGGAGCUGGAGCCGGCGCGGCCGGCUAUCAUCCGGCGGGCUUCGGCGAUCGCCGACUACACCGACACCAGCGUCUUCGCCCCCGAGGUGGAUGACAACGGUGUCGCCCAGCCGGAGGAGUGGUUCAGGCUGAACCCGGCGGACGGUGAAGACUCGGCGGAGGAGAUCGACUCCAGCGACGAGGGCGAAGAGGAGGAGGAGGAGGGUGAAGACGCCGAGCCGGCUGGUGGAGCAGCCGACCAGCCUCAGCCUGACCACGCCUCCAGCACCACGUUACGCGCGAGUGCGUCGCCCGCGACUGGUGGUGACCAGGCCGAGACCCGCUAGGCGGCCACUCCUUCAGCCGGCGGGGCCGUCUCCACCGACCAGCUCGGCUUCCGCGCCGCGCCCUAGUCUGCCAUCUUUUGUUUUCCUGUCUUGUUACUUUUGGAACAAUGUUUGGUUAAGUCUGCACAAUUCCACCCACUGGGUGUAUUCGAACUUAUGUCUGUUGCCAGCCUGUUGGGGGCUUUAUAUGUAUAUAUAACUUAUGCAUGCAUUUGGCCUUUCCUCGUACUUUGCUUUUCAUCCUUCCGCUGUUUCCUUUGCCGCCCUCCCUUGGUUGCCGCCUCCCCAGUCCAACAGUUGCUCUGCAAUCUGUAGCUGGAGGAGUGCUUGGCCAAUUGGGGGGGGGGGAAGUACUCUAGCUUUGCUGGACUAAAGCUAAGUGUUUAGGAAGCCGGCCAGCCGGCUGUUCUGACAGCCGGCAGGCGUGUUUGGAGGCCGUCUUUUUGCUAUAUAAGUUCGUUGGUCCUUAGCCGUUUUUCGUGUGGGCAUCCUUUCUGCCUUGCCUCUUGCUAGUCGGACAGUCGGUUCUUCGAGCUGCGACUUUCAACAAGAGAGGACUCGGGAGCCGGCACACUACUUUUCUGACUUCAGGUAGAACUUUUAAUAUAGCUCAAGGCGGCCAGUCCCCGGGCCGACUAGUCGAACCCGGUGCCAGACAAGAAAUCAAAUGUAAUAAUACAUUCAUGGAUAUGACACUCGUCAUUCAUAGAUAAACAAAGGCAGUCCCCGAGUACUGUUCGGGGGGCCUGUUGGUUUGUACUUAAUACAAAAGGGUAGCAUGAUACAUACUGCUUUCAACUGUAAAAUCGUCUCAGGAGGUUUGCGUUCCAUGGUCGCCCCGACUCCUUGCCGGAGUCGUCUCUCUUGCGUGCUCUUGGUUUUUGUGCGUCGAUCAAGUAGUAGGAGUCGUUGCCGAGUGCCUUGCUGACGACGAAGGGGCCUUCCCAAGGGGCCGAGAGCUUGUGCUAGUCGGCUGUUCGCUGGAUCAGCCGGAGCACAAGGUCGCCCUCUUGGAAGGAUCUUGGCUUGACCUUGCGGUUGUAGUAGCGGCGCAGCCCUUGCUGGUAGAUGGCGGACCGGCUGAGUGCUAACAGCCGGCCUUCUUCCAGUAGGUCGACGCCGUCUUCUCUUGCUUCUUUGGCCUCCUCCUCUGUGUACAUGGUGAUCCAAGGCGAGUCGAACUCGAUGUCUGUUGGGAUGACUGCCUCGGCACCGUACACGAGGAAAAAUGGAGUAAAGCCGGUUGACUUGUUGGGUGUAGUGCGCAGACUCCAGAGGACAGCCGGCAGCUCAUCGAGCCAGCAGCCGGCCGAUCGCUCCAGUGGUACAACCAGUCGGGGCUUGAUGCCGAAGAGGAUGAGUCCAUUUGCUUGCUCGACCUGGCCGUUUGACUGCGGGUGGGAAACGGACGCUAAGUCCAGUCGGAUGCCCUGCGUCGCGCAGAAACGUGCCAGUGCUCCUUUGGCGAAGUUCGUGCCGUUGUCGGUGAUGAUGCUGUGCGGCACUCCAUACCGAGUAGUGAUGUCAGUGAUGAAUGUCACGGCAGUCGGCCCGUUCAGCUUCUUAAUCGGCUUUGCUUCGAUCCACUUUGUGAACUUGUCCACAGCGACCAGUAGAUGUGUCAAGCCACCGCGGGCUGUCUUGAAAGGGCCCACCAUGUCCAGUCCCCAGACGGCAAAAGGCCAGGUGAGGGGAAUGGUCUUGAGUGCAGAAGCCGGCAGGUGUUGCAUGGCACUAAAAACUUGGCAUCCUCUGCAGCUCUUGACUAUUUCUUUAGCAUCCUCCAAGGCAGUCAGCCAGAAGAAACCAUGGCGGAAAGCCUUGGCCACAAGUGAUCUUGAGGCUGCGUGGUGGCCGCAUUCGCCUUGGUGGAUGUCUUUGAGGAUUGCCACUCCUUUUUCUGGCUCGACACAGCGCUGGAAGACCCCAGUGACGCUAUGCUUCACAAGAUCUCUGUUGAUUAUUGUAUAUGCUGCGGCUCGUCGUUGCACCAGUCUCGCUGAGAUCUCAUCAGCCGGCAGCUCUCUGCUGACUAGGAACUUGAGGAUGGGCUGGGCCCAUGACGGAGCUGUGACUUCUUCUUCUGUUAAUGUAGCCACCAUGACUCGGGUGGGUGGGUUGGGUGGCGUGGAAUUGGAGUCGGCCACCGCUUCUUGUGUCGUUGCAGUCCCCAGGCCGACUGCUGCAGUCCCCGGGCCGGGUUCUGAAGUCCCCGGGCCAGUUGUCGAAGUCCCCGUGCCGCCUGCGGGGUUCCUCCAGUCGGAUCCGGCUGUAUCUGGCGCAGGCGGUACGAAGAUGGAGUCCGACUCUGGAGAUGGUUUGAUGGACGGCUUGAGGAGGUGCUGGAGGGAGACGCCAGUCGGUAUGGCUUACCGGGUGUAGCCGAUCCGUGCUAGGGCAUCUGCUUGGUCGUUGUCGGCCCUUGGCACGUGAAGGAACUCGCACCCUUCAAAGUAUCCGCUGAUCUGCUGGACGAGGAAUCGAUAGCUCGCCAUGUUCACGUGCUUGGCGUCCCAGUCGCCAGACGACUGCUGGACCACCAAGUCUGAGUCGCCGUAACACAGGAUCCGGCGUAUGCCGAGUUCUUUGGCUAGCCGGAGCCCAUCUACGAGCGCCUCGUACUCGGCCACGUUGUUGGAGGCGGCGAAGUGGAUCUGCAGCGUGUACUUGAGCUUGUCGCCUUUGGGAGAGGUGAGGACGAUGCCGGCUCCCAAGCCGGUGCGCAUCUUGGACCCGUCAAAGUGCAUCCGCCAAUGGGUAGAGUCGGGAGCCGGCGGUAGGUACUGGGUCUCGGCCCAGUUGACAAGGAGGUCGGCCAACGCUUGGGACUUGAUGGCGGUGCGGGGUUGGUAGAAGAUCGUGUAGGGUGCCAGUGCAAUGGCCCAUUUAGCCACCCGGCCGGAUGCAUCCCGGCUGCCUAUGAUCUCGGCGAGCGGGGCGGUGCACACGACCGUGAUGGGGUGCUCUUGGAAGUAGGGCUUCAGUUUCUUGGCAGCGAAGUACACCCCAUAGCACAUCUUCUGGUAGUGCGGGUAGUUUUGCUUUGAGCUGGAUAGCACUUCGCUGAGAUAGUACACCAGCCUCUGGACUAGCUGGGCUCGGCCUUCUUCCGGGCGCUGGACCACAACAACAG